rnacentral:lncRNA from 1 species
UCCAUUGGAGAAUUGUCUGUUGUUUUGGUGUAAAAGAAUUUGCUUUAAAGUAAGAGAAUAUGCAUCAAAAACAUAUUGUGCACAUCUUGAGAAGCAAAAUCUUAUGCAGUAUGGAUUGUUGUCAUAACCAAAAUCUGACCAAGAUCCCACUGAGGCCCAUUGUCUAAUCAUUACAUUUCAAAUGAUUCCUUCUGAAAAGCUAGUGUUGUGGAGCUACUUAAGAUUGGAAAGGAAGCCAUAUGAUCUGUUGCAUAAUGCCUGGAGUUUUCAAUGCUUGAAGAAAUUAAUCCUGGAUGUCAAGCCAUGCGAUUUUGGUCUUAGAUGAAAACGAUGAAGUUCUAGUAGUUGGAAAUUGGAAUAAACUUUCAAUUUUUGGGAGCUAUUGCUGGCCCUUGCUAGAGUGAUCAAUGAGAAAAGACAGGACAAAAAGCGAUAAUAGGGGCGAGAACAUUGUUCAGGCCUUUUAAUGAUUAAGAGGCUAAGAAGCAUCGCUACCCCUUGGCUUGACCAUGGAAGUAUGCUUCAGGGCAGGUGAAUAGAAUGCUAGAUGGUUUAUCUAGUUGAGCUUCUCAUGGUUGUCGCAUAUAGAUUCCACAAUUGAAUUAUUCUCAAGUACACCCAGUAGUUGCUUCUCUUGGUAGAAAUCUUAUGCACCUUUCUAGGUUCUUUUGAUUGAGAAAAUGGAGAAAUUGGUUUGAAUCAGUUUUUAGUUCUCAUAUAUUCUGAAACUUCCGAUAGCACCGACCACCUACCUUCUGGCCAGGAGAUACAUGUCUUGGUAGAGAGAGAUUGUGGUAGUUUGAUACAUCAGAACCAAGGAGGAAUCAGAUUAUAUGAAAAGAAGAAAAGUAACCUAAACAAGUAAUCCUGGAGAUGCGAUUGAGCUAUGAUAAAAAUGAUAUAUGUAAUUAGUUGUAAUUUAAUUAUAAAUGUAGCACAGAUGUUACGCAUUAAAGUGGUUUUGAUUGCUAAUGAAUGCUCAUACAAGAUGUUCAACACAGUCCUUGAGGUGUAUAAAAAUGCCAGCUUAUUGGAGGUUGGAACUAUGAUAAUGAUGAUGCGUGCGAUUGCUUAUGCUUAAUUUGAGUUGUUUACAAAAUGUUAUAUGCUAAAGCUUUCGUAAUUGGUAAGGAAUACUCAUGUGUCUUAAAAUGUUAUCUUAAUGAAAAUUUUGUGAAGGUUAAUACAAAUAAAGUAGGUGAGUUAAACGCUGAGUGGCUUCUAUCCUGCCGAGCUUGUGGGCUGUGUCCAUUUCUGGGCCUUGCCUGGGCUAUUUAAAAGCCUUGUUUAUGCUUCUGCUGAAGCAGUAGUAUGUAAUGUUAUAUACGAAUAACAUGUUUAAGGCUGUAGGUACUUAUGAAGGGGGUCUGACAUUCUAUACUCCAUUCAGAGAAUGAGUACUUUUGAAAUUGCCCUAUGGGAGGCCAGCUAUUCACAUGAAUUUGACCUUUUAGUAUUUGAGCUCUGCCAUUAUCAAUGAAUGGGAUUUACAACAAAAUAUUUUCUAUUUAGGAAAUUACAUCUUUUUCUCCUUUCUUGCAAAUUAUGUCGUGCAUUUGCUUGUCAUGAAUUAUAUUGAAUUUCAGGGUAAUGCUAGCAGUUACCCGUCAAGGUUCAGAUUCUAUAUUUUCCCUCGCGAAAAAAAGGGUUCUGAUUACAUAUUGCAUUAGCAUAGGUGAAGCCAUAUAGCAUCAUUAAACCAUUUUGUUCAUGAACUAAAUCUUAUAAUUAUCAAUUUCUUUUUUCCCCUUUUUCUCACUGUGUGUGUGGUGGGGGGAGGGAUAAAGUGCUUCAUUUUAAUGGUAACUAGGAUACUUCAUCAGAGUAUAAUUAAUUAAGAGAAAGAAUUUGAUCACUGUAGGUUGCUUGAAAUUAAUAUGACAUGAAACUAAGUAGAAUGAAUAUGUACUUGCCUACCCUAUUGCAAUUUUUACUUGGCUGAGGUACUAGUUUAGAGUGAACAGAUUUACUCCUAUCAAUUGUGUUGUGGUUGGAAUCCAUCCUGGGUCGGAGGCGCUGGAGCGAGGUGACGUCUGGCGGGUCGGUGGUGACCGGACCUGCAAGAAAAGCUCCCGUCGGAGGUGCCUUCGGCGGAGACUCUUUGACGCUCAAGUCAGAUUUUCUGCAACAGGUGAGAAAGAGCGAGCGUCCACCUCUGGCGGGGAUUCUUCGACGCUCAAGUCAGAUUUUCCGCAACAUGUGAGAAAGAGCGAGCGUUUAUAAGAGGAAGAGGAGGCGUGUCUGGAGGAUCUCUAUUUUAUCUUUUUAUAGGUGAGAUUGGAGUCUUGGAAAAAGGAAAGGCCAUAAAGAACCUUUUGCCCCUCAUCAUAUUCUCGAGCACCACGCCUGAUCCUUUGAUUUUUUGGGUUGGUGAGUGAUGUCACCUCAUAGCUAGUGGGGGCCGUCUUUAUUAAUUGUAUGGAUUGACAACUAGGGUCCAGAGAAUGGUGUGGCUUUGUUCAUGGCCACCUUUGUCAUUAAAUGGAAUGACAUGACUGGACCAUGGAGAGGCCUCUUACGGUCAUCAUGACAAGCUGCCAUCUUUAAUGACCUGACGUGACAGUCGUUUUGGAGAUUUUGGACUGAGAUCAUUGAGUGCUUCGGCCGAACCAAGAAUCAGAGAGAGUGGGCCUUGGGCUGGUCACACGUCGGGAUGCGGCGAGCUUAGUAAAUGCUGGAGUUGGAGGUGACGGUCGAAGUCAGCUCGUUGAGGGCUUACCCGGGUCUCCAGAUUAGAUGCCGAAGUGGCUCAGUUGCACGCAGGGUAACACGGCUUGAUGGGACUGUGCGGGGGCCGAUCUCCCCAAAGUGAGGUAUAAUAAUGAGUGGCUUCGAGGUCGAUUAGGAGUAAGAAUUGGCCAAAGAUCUCCAGGGAAGACGCCAAAGUUGGGGCUUCUCUUGGCUCGAUGCCUGAUGUCUGGGUGUCACAUCUGGGCCGGUAGCUAAGGACUCGAUUGAGGUAAGUAUCAGCCAUUCGAGCUAAGAUCAUUUGCCGAAGUCUCAGUUGAUGGACGAAGCCAGGUGGCCGAAGUAGGAAGUCCGUUUAUUGAGGUAGCUAUCGAGGUGGGGUCAGAUGUGCACGGAGGGUGCGGGCAUCUGCGGGCUGCGCCCUAUGCGGGCCGAAGCCGGAUGUGUGGGCGCAUCCUCUCGCUUUUCUUCCUCUUCUGCCACCUUUUCUUUGUCCUCCAUCUCUUCCUCUCUUCCUUUUGUCUUGUUGUGAUGCCCAUGGGAGGAUGGGAUGAGAGAGAGAGGCAAUUAAUGCCUCUGUCAGGUUUAGAUGACCCAAGGCAAUCCUCGUAACAUAUGCACAGUGGACAAUACACAAUCGGAAACUAAUGAAGUACACGGGGCAGCAUGGCCAAUGGAGACCUUUUAGCACCGAUAGUGGGCUGGUUAAAUUGUUAACAUGCUGGGCCUCCGGUCUCUUCUUAUCUUUGGCCCAGAUGAACACAAAUGAUUACAUCAGAAAAAUGAUUUGCAAUGUAGUUAUUCAUCAUGGAUGGUCCUGAGUUAGUGUCCAUGUACAUCUGAAUCUUGAUGUCCCAAUUGUAUUUUCUAAGAAGAAUUUCCAUUGGUUGUAUAUGCAAGUUUUUGGCUGGAUCAUUUUCAAAGAUCUCGGUCACCUGCUAUUUACUUCCUGCUGUUGCAUGUUGUAAGGAACAAUGUUAAUACAUCAUGUUGUCAAUACAAGUCAAAAGUAUGCACCAUAUAUUUUGUAACAUGAGGACGCCCAACCUCAGUUCCAACUUCCAACAUCCAAUACUGGUAUUUGAUGUUUUACAUUGACAAUACCCAAGAGUAACAUGUGAUGUCAAGGUUAUUUGUUAUUUGUUUUUCUCUAUAUGCAAUGGAUGUUUCCCUUUGUUGUAUAUGCAACUAUUUGGCAGAACCAUUUUCAGGGAUCACAUGGUCCAUGCUAUUUACUUCUUCCUGUUACAUUUUUGUAAGAGAUACUAAUGCAUUAGAGUGUCAAUACACGUCAAAGGUAUGCACCAUGUGUUUUUGCAUUAUGAUAAUUUCAUCAAUUUGAGCUUAGAGAAACUAAUACCCAACCUCAGUUCCAACUUCCAACACUCAGUAUCGGUACUUGACACUGAUACGUUAAGAAUGCCCAAACUUAGCAUCUAAUGUCUAGCUUGUUUGUUAGUGUUUUGUAUGUGCAAUAUAUGGUUAGUACAAAAAUACACUAUGCUAGAACCGACAAUCUAGCAUUAAAUUAUCGAUUUUUUUGGCUGAUGUCAUCUAUGAAUGUUAAUUUUCAUGUUUAAAAAGGAAAGGUGAUCUUAUUUUAGAAGAGUCUUCAGGUUAUCAACUGGAGGAGUUGGGGUUUGGAAUGUUUUACCAUAGCAAAAAUAAAAACCGAGAAUUUAUGUAUUUAUUUGAAAAAUAAAGUUCUAGUUAUCUAUGGUAGACAAGUUAUGACAAUUAUUGUUGUAAUAUAUAUUGUUGCGGUGUAUUUGGAUUUUUUAUUGUUUAACAUCUUAAUACUCUAGAUAUAAUUUAAAGCUACAUUCUUGUAAGAGGCAUGUUCUCUCAACAUGCUACAUUGCAUUGUUUGCCAUUGCAUAUAACUUUCAAGCAGGCAUUGCUAUUGGAUAAGUAUCCCCUGUUUGGCGGUCUUCCUUUGACCUCAUUCGUAGCAUGCUCAUUUAUAGAGAUAAUCAAAGCCGAUCUCUAAUUAAUAACAAGAAAUGAUCUAGGCCUCAUAUAAACUCAGAAAUCCUAAUUUAAAGCAACUAUUAGAAGUAAUAGGUUUCAUUCUUAACUAAUCAAACACAUUCAACAGCAAGUCAUAUAUUUUAAAAUCCAAAAUUAAAUAAUUACAUCUAAAUUAUGGUGUUAAUGUUCAUCAAGAUGCAAACUUAGUUCUGUAGUUCAUAUUACUGUUAUGAUGUCUUAUUUAUUUUUGAGGAUGAUACAGUUUUUUCCUCUUCAUUAUAUGGCUGCUUCUUUAAUGAUGCUAUCACUGUAGACAUUUUUAUGUAAUGAUAUGUAUUCUUUGUACUCAAUUUAUUGAUGAGAUUUUACAUUUUCUUACCAUGUUAACAUGUAUAACAGGAGUUCUUGGGUAAGGGUAUGGAUGAUGAAAAUCCAUUUUCCAAUGGGAAGCACAAAGAGGGAAAUUUCAGGAAGCGUUCUCGUUCCCAUCCUGACAAUGGGAAAAGAAAAAGGCAGAAUUCUAGCCAUGAUCAUAAUUUUAUGACUUCCAAACCUGUUGAAACCAUUUAUCGCAUCCUUUGCCCUGUCAAAAAGAUUGGUAGCGUUCUUGGGAAAGGAGGUGACAUUGUUAAUGCCCUUAGAGAUGAGACUCAUGCAAAGAUAAGAGUUGCUGAUGCUAUUCCUGGGGCAGAGGAGAGAGUUAUUAUCAUUUUUAGUUACUUAUCGCAACAAUCUGGAGAACUCAAUUCUGAUGAGGAUCCUGAUGAUGUUAAUUUCACUGAGAGCGAAUCACAGGAUAUGAUGCCCCAUUGUCCUGCCCAGGAUGCUUUGUUAAAAGUCCAUGAUAGGAUUGCUGCAGAUGAGGUUCUGCGUGGUGGUGUGGUGCAUGAAAAGACCGGAGCUGAUGAUGUUGUCACUUCUCGCAUUUUGGUUCCAAGCAAUCAAGUCGGUUGUCUUCUUGGUAAGGGAGGCACUGUUAUACAGAAGCUACGAAGUGAUACUGGUGCUAAUAUUCGAAUUCUACCUGCAGAGCACCUUCCACCAUGUGCAAUGAGCACUGAUGAAUUAGUUCAGGUAAUUCCUUUCUGGAUCCAUUGUGGUUCAUUCAUGGUGUGGUCAUGAGUGUACUCUUACUCUGUGUCUACUAUUGCUAAUGAAAAAUGCUUUUAUGACUUUUAAAGCAAAAUAUCACUUCCUAAAAAACUGUGCACUUUGGUAAUAUCAUCUGUUUGUGCUUCUACAAGAAAAGUCAGAAAGAGCACUUUUAGGAGAAGCUAGAAAACCUAGCUUCUGGCUUCUCCUUCUUUUUUUUUUGCAAAGUAGAAGCAACACCAAACACGCCCUUGAUGUAUUUCUAGAAAAUGUUUUAUUACCUCGAACCUGAAUACUAGAAAUGUUUUAGAAUAAACAUAUUACUUUGUUUAGAAAAUUUAAAGAUGUUUGCAGAAUUAAGCCUUUGAAUAAAUAUAAAUAAAUGAAUAUGUAGUGUAGUGUGUGUUGUACUCAAUCUUAUUUUAUAUAUUUGUUUAUAUAAUAGCUAGUUUAUAUAAAUAAAUAGUCCCAGUUCAAUUUUAAAUUUUUGCUUAUUUCUGAUAACUACUCUUCUGAAGUCUCUUUAAUACAUCUCUUCUUUGGCACAUACAGCCCCUUGAUUUUAUCUCUUUCUGAUAAUCUUUUAGAGAAAGAGUGAUCACUGGACAUCCAAGUUUUUGGUGGGAUCACGAAUAUCCAUCUAAUCAUGUGCAUCCAGUAUGGUAAAUGGUUUAUAGAUAGGAUGAAAGCUUUGAUUCCUGUCACAUAGGAUCUGGGUAUCAAAGUAACUUGCUUUUUUAUAACUGAAAGGUUAGGAACAACUGAAGGGCUUGCUUUUUAUGUUAGGGUUGAUCACAUUGAGGUAUCUCCUUUUGAAGAAGCUGGGGUGAAGGACUUUAUUGAAUGCUUGAUGUGGAUUAAGAAUGCUAAGUUCUUGGAUGAAUUUAGAUAGAUGAGUUGAUGUAGAUUUCAAUUCUAGAUUUGUCUAAUAUAAGAAAGAAUUAAGUUUGGAAAUAGAAUUUGCAUGCUUAUUGAUGUGCGGGAGUAGUACCACCAGUAUUUUUCUUUGUUAAAGAUGGUGUAGGAAGAAUAUGAUUAUAUAUAUUUGUAUGUAUGUUUAAUAUGUGAAGAAUAGGAAAACAGCUCGUAGUGAUAGGUAAAUUGGCUGAGUUUAAAAUAAGUGGAAGUUUGACAUGUUAGACAUUGUAUCUGAACAAUGAAUCAUAAUAAGGUGCAAUAUUCAGAAUGCUUCAGGAUUUUGUAUUGUUAGGUGUUCAACUGCAUGCUGGAAAUAUAUCUUAUGGAGGAUUUUUUACAUUUUUCCCCCAGUUUUUGCGAGAAAGAUUCUUUACAUCAUAUUUAUAUGGAACACGAGGGGAGUAGUCAUAAUUCUAGUCCUUGGUUGUUGUUAACAAAAAAACAUGGCUGCAUGAGUUGAAUUAGUAGCAGGGAUGUGGUGCUUUGAAAGAGUAGCACUUGAUGGUACAUGAUUAUGAAGAAAAGGAACCUGGUUGUGCGCCCCCCCCCCCUGCCCCCCCUCCCUUUUUUAUUUUAGGGGGGGGGGGGUACUGGUAACGUUGGUAAUUUUCAUUAUAAAGAAAACCUUGUUUAGGGUUGUUAGAACAUCAAAACAUAAAAAAAGAGAAGUUAAUAAGUUUCUGUGUGGGUCUUUUUUUUUUAACUUAAUCCAACUCGGUUUAUUCUCAAAAAGGAAAAAAAGAAUAGGGAUUCUAAAGUCAUAAAGCAUUAAAUAGCACAUUUUAAGCUAGGCCAGCUUUGUCUUCAUAAAAGAAGUGAGCACCAGGAGCUUCUUGAUUGAAGAAUGAACUGGAAACGUCGAGGAGAAAUGUUUUAGGUCGUUCUUUCUAGCCUGGGAGAUAUUUGACAAUAUUGUUUUUCACAUUUCAUGCAUGUGGAUUGUCUAAGUGGCUUUAAGGAUCUAAGUGAAGGGUUUGAUGGUUAGUUCUAGUCAUUUCUUCAAGGUCAUAUUAUGUUGACAAGAAUGUAUUUUGAUGAUUGCUGUAGUACUAGUAAUAUGUUUUAGGUCAAUACUACUUUAUCCGACACUUUAGAAGGCCUGCAGAGACAGGCUAUGCUGAGGACCUGAAGGCAACUUUUAAACAUACUCGUGUCUGAAGUGGUCAUAAGACUGGCUUGCUAUAAUUGCACAAUACCAUCUUUGAAGAGAUUACUGGAAUGAAUCUGGUUAAUUUCUUUUGCUCUCCUAUCCUGUUUGUCAUAAAUUACUGAUCUAUUGAUUCUUGCUUUUUUGCCUUGUUUGAUGUUGGCAAGUUCCAGUGUGGUCCACGGCAAGAUUCAUUGUCUCAAUACCGAGCCCUAUACCGGUGCCAACUUAUUAGUCAGUGUGGGGCCAGUUCGGCAUACUGAGUGCUGUUAUACCUUCAGUACUACAUACAGGUACCAAACCGGUUUGGUAUGGUAUGCCCCAUACCAUCUGGUUUGGUAUGGCAAACCUUUGUCCAUGUUUUCUUUCUGUACCAACCAUGUUUCUCUAGCCUUUCUCCUGAAACAUUCUACAUCAAAUUAAAUUGGUUUUAUAGAGCCUUUACAGGUGCAUUGUCUUCUAAGCUGCUUGACAUGGUGCUAAUACAAGUAUCCGUGGAAUAUGAGCAGUGGCUUAUUGGCUUCAGGAUUUUUCUAAUAAAAAAUGAUUCUUGAUAGCUGUUUAAUCUCGUGAUGGUGUUCUUUUUUGAAUAUUGUGAUGUUUUCUGUAAUAUUUUAUGAGAUUCUUUUGUUUAACAAAUGAGGCAUAUGCAUAGUCUACUAGAUUAGUUAUUGAAUGUGUUUCUUGGUUUUAGUUAUUCCAUCUAAACUUUAUCUCUGAAUGCGUCUUUUAGAUAUCAGGAGUGCCAUCCAUUGUGAAGAAGGCUUUAUAUGAUAUUACCACUCUGUUGCAUCAACAUCCUCGUAAAGAAAAUCCUCCUCUAGAAGAUCUUAUAUAUGCCAGUACCCAUGGUUUAUACCAAUCCAGUGCUUCUAUGCCUCCAUUGCCUCAAGGAAAUCCAUUGUGGUCUCAGCAGCACCCAGCUGUUGAUGCUGCACCACCAAUGCCAUGGAUUCGUGGAUAUAGAAAUGAGCCAUCUGGAUAUGCUCCUGGUAAUUUCAGCAGUGGUCGUGCUGAAAAUGAGGGAGAAACAGCAGAGUUUUCCAUAAGAAUUUUAUGUGCCACUGUGAAGAUUGGCGGUGUGAUUGGUAAAGGUGGGGUUAAUGUCAGACAGUUAGAACAACAGACAGGUGCUCACAUUCAAGUUGAGGAUACCGCUCCUGAGGCAGAAGAGCGUGUCAUUGUCAUCUCUUCUAAAGAGGUAUAUUAUACCUAUUCUGUAACAUCUGUGUGGUGCUUACUGAAAUUUAUAUAGCUAAUGAUCUUGGAAUUUUACAUGCAUGGUAACUUUUAAUUUAUCCAAUGUUUGAUUGUACGUACAAUGACGUGUAUCUAAAUGAAUAACUUUAGGUUUUUUGGGAUCCAAUCUCUCCAACAAUUGAGGCUCUUCUCCAGCUUCAAAGCAGAACUAGUGCUUCCUCUGAAAAAGGUGUCAUCACUACAAGGCUUCUUGUUCCCUCCAGUAAGGUUGGUUGUAUCCUUGGACAAGGUGGUGACAUAAUCACAGAAAUGAGAAGGCGAACCAGAGCAGAUAUUCGAGUUUACUCAAAGGAUGAUAAGCCAAAGUAUACAUCAGCAAACGAAGAGCUUGUGCAGGUGAUGUGGUUAGCAUCAUGCUUUAUGCUAAGUUGACUUACAAUAUGUCAUCCUGGUCUUCCACACGGUUUUCAUUUGCAGUCAUUCUUUUAGGUGUACUGAUUAUUUGACUUGGUCAUAUAGAUAUCUGGAAAUCAGAGUGUUGCGAGGGAGGCUCUUUCAGAGAUUGCAUCCAGGCUUAGAGCGAGGACUCUUCGAGGUGGGAAUGCUGCUACAAAUACUGCACCUCCAGCCCCUUUCCGUGGAUUUCCUCCUUCAGAAAGCUUGUCUAGUAGAGGACCACCACCAACUGUAAAUUCUUCUAUAAAUCCUGCUCGAACGGUCCCUUUCCAUGGUUUUGCUCCCCUAGAAGGCUUUUCUGGUAGAGGACUACCAUCACCUGGCAUGGUUGGAUCUGGGAGUGCUGUUAAUUAUGAUCAUCCAAAGGUGUUAUAAUAUUUUUAUAAUUUACCCUUAUUUCUGUUGCCUCUGCACCUACAAAUGGUACUCUUUUAUUGUCCUGUUGAUUGCUAUGACUUGUCAGAUUGGUAAACUAUGCAAUUGUCCUAGGGGCUUAAUUCUCAUCUUAUGGUUGUGAAUACGUAUUUGAUAUUUCUUGUUCUUCUUUAACGUGCAUCACCAAGGUUGCAUUUUGGAUGCAUUGUGGAAUCAAUGGAUAUUUUGUAAUAUUGCAUGCUUUUGAGGAUUGAAGUUAUAAUUUCUGUAAGUGGUUGUUUGGGUGUGCUUUAUAUUGGUUUAUCUGAGAUUGAGUUUAUUCUCUCCAUCAGCGGUUAUAGUGUACUGUUAAACAAACAUCUCUUCGAAAAUAAUGCUUAUGGAAAUUUGCUUCUCAAAUUUAAAGAACUAUUCUUUUUUCGAUUAGAUAUAUAUGAUGAUAGCCUUAUCUUUGAAAGAAGUCAGUUACUUUUUCACUUGUUAACAAGUUACAAAACUUCAUGUCUAGCAUAUUCAUUAGCAUUUAUGUUGAAUAGAUUAUACUUAUGGUGCUCAGAGUUAUGUCAGGCACUUCUAUGCUUGAUGCAGUUUCUUAUAGGGAUGCUAAUGGUCUGAAUUAAAAGUUUGUAUGUGCUCUUCCUAGAGACAAGGAAGCGCCGUUAUCUUAAGGAUAGGCUUUUGUUAUUGAAAUAGGCAAUGCCUCACAAGUCGGUUGAACAUAUUCAUAUAGUAAGGUCGAUUUAAUCAAUCAUUUGGCUAUGAUGCUUUUGUAGCAUCCAACUUAUUUAAAUUAUAUUUAGUAUUUUCAAGAGGCAUCACUGCUCUAUAGAUUAUUGCAUCAAUAAGAGAGAAAGGAAGAAGAACAUUUUUCAAAAUGUUAUAUUUUUAAAGGUUGAAUUAUUAGUUCACUUGAAUGAUUAUGAAAGAGAACAAAUAACUAGGUUUAACAUUGACUGUUGUUACCAUAUGCUGUUUGUUUGAACAAUUAUCAUGUCAUGUUAAGUUAUUUAUGUUUCUUCUUGUGCAUUUAGCAUUUAGUGCUCCGGUCCUCAACUUCUGGUUUAUGUUCUUUUGUUACUCAGCUUGCAGUUAUACAUGCUCUGUUAAGCUGUUACCAGUAAGUACAAUGCAAAUGGUUGCAGCAUAGUUCUUGAUAAACUGGGAAACUAUAAACUAAAGCAUUCAUGAUACCUCAACAAUAAUAAACUAAUAGCUAAGUCGGAGAACAUAGUUCUUAAUUCUUAUGGUUAUUUUGCAUACAAAUCAGACGAGUUGUGAUGGAUCGUCCAGCUUUUGAUUGAGCUAGAAAAUUUGUCUUUGUUCAAGUGCAAAGGUUUGUAAGUGAAAUGUGUUUAUUUGCUUACUCAUUUUUAGCUUAUUUCUCCAUUUAUCUUGGUUUGGUUGAUGUAUGGAUUAUCUGGAUUCCAAAAUGAAAGGCUUAUUUGAGUUUCUUUUUCCCCACAGGGAUCUGGAAUGCUACAUGAAGCUCACGGUUAUCCAGGUCCCCGAAAUGCUACUGGGUAGAGUGGCUUCCAAAUUUAUUCUGUAUGAAAUAGUUUUUAUAGAUGUAGAAAGGCCGCUCACUUUUUGUAUCCAUUCCAGUUAUCCAACUAUGAACAGUUCUUUGGACGUUAAGAUUCCUAGUAGUGCAGUGGCUUCUGUUCGUGGAUCAGGUGCAAGCAAUUUUUCUGAUAUCCGUCAGGUAAGCCAUUUGGACAUCUUCGGGGAUUCCUUGAAAAAGUUGUAACUCAAUGAGGAAAACCAAGUUAAAAUAAUCCUAUUUCAGAUAUUCAAAGAUAUAUUGGGAAUUCUAUCAAUUUCUGACGAGCCACACGUUUAACUAGUGAUCUUUAUGAAUGAUGUUCCACUGCAAUUGUCUGUCAAGUUGGAAUCAGAUCCAUAUUUGUCAACCAAAUACAGACUAUUCUUUCGAUGCCUGUUACUUUCAAACAUACAGCCUGUUAAAUAAUUCCUUUCUGAGAUUCUUUAGUAUAGCAUGCCAUCUGUUAGUUCAGUGAGUGAGAGCCUUUUCUUAUGUAUUCUUUUUGUCAGAUUUCUGGAGCAAGGGUUAAGUUGCAUGAUCCUCUGUCUGGUGCAUCUGAGUGCGUUGUUGAGAUACACAGCUCUUCUGAUCAAAUGAAGGCAGCACACAGCCUCCAUCAGUUCAUAGCUUCUGGUGGACAGAAUGUACCACCACCGCAAGCUCCCCGCCCAUAUUAGUCUUUCACCUGGAACCAGAGGUCUUCUGUUGUUAUCCCAGCAGUGCAAUGCUGUGUGGCUGUUGUUUUUAUGGCUUUGCUGGCAUGAGUAAGGCGCUACUUCGACUAUUUGAGGUCCUAAUUUACAGUGAUUACUGUAGGCAAUUACAGGAGUUGAUCUGUUGAUGGUACAAAAAUGUGAAUUGGAAAAAGCGAUUAUCUCUGUCUAAACUAUUUAUUUGAAUGGCCAAGUGGUUCAACAAUAGAGGUGACUUGUGUAUGGCUCAAAGGUUAGAUUAUUCGAGUAACUAUGUAAGUGACUUUGUAGGUUGAGCAAUUCGGUACUUUGAAUUCCUCUGUCAACCGGAUUUAAUAGAUCCCUUUUUUUACCCUUUUUUUUUUUAUUUGUGGCAAAGCUCAUUUCUGAAUAAGUUGUUCCUUUAUCAUUUUUCUUUGAUUUUCUAUGGUUUAAUUAGGCUGCAGAUUCGGACUGUUGUGGGAGUUUCUGUUUGCUAUUUCGCUUAUGGAUGGCGUCGGUUAUUUGUGUGAUUUUUUUUUUUGAAGUCUAAAGGGAUGUCAGGUGAGACUUAUGUAAGAUUUCACAAAUACUGUCGGACAGUUAUGUUCAGAUCGCGGUAACACUGAAAACAUGUCGUUUGUUUCGUGAGAUGUGAGAUUUGACAGAGUUCUUGAUUGGCCUUUCUUCGCGAUCAAAAAGGGAAAAACUGUGAGAUGUAGAUGUUGUGGAAGCAUAUUUUCAGAUUAGAGGGAGACACUAGACUUUGUAAAAUGCAGGAUUCUCCUCAAUUGGCCGUCAGAUUCAAUGUCCUUUUCACAUCCGACGCCUCCCAAUAUCCUGCAGCGUAAUUGCCUGUUCCAUUGUGAUUGCCCGUAUGUGGCGGUCCAGCAACUCAAAAUGAAACUUCUAUUUGAGUCCUUUGAUUCCAUGAUUGGACGUUGAAUUACAUAAGCCUGUCGGCUGUGUAGAUCGAGGAAUGAGGCUGCCCUUCCUCCUAACAAACCAGCCUACUCCUGAAUCCGGCAUUGCUACUAAAAUUAGGAUCUAUAUUCGUGUCAUGCCCCAGUUUUAAAUCCUUCCGAGGGCUGUUGUUUGUAAUGAUUGUUCAAUUUGAUGAUUCUGUUGUACCGUUAUCUAACGUUUUCUAGAUCGAACUCAAGCAGUAGGUAUGGAAGGCCAAUUGACUUGAAGAGUGAAACUUAGGCUCAGAAAUCUAGAAAGAAUCCAAAACAAUUGAUGAAAUAUGAUAGAUGUGUCCCAAUUUCGUCUUGGUUGGGCUGGCAUAUCCGGACACGGUCAUGCAAAAAGGCUAGAGUUGCUAUUAUAUGGAGUCUUGCUCUCUCUUUUUCUCUUUUGGUAGGGGCCAAAAAAAACCUUUCCAAUGCACACUUCAUAUGGAUUUAAACACACCACUAUACCAUGGCUCCUUAUAAUCAAUCCAGGGAUUCUCAGCCUUAUUCAACAUAGAGAGGUCUUCACCCUAAGACUUCCUCGUAUUGCAUCCAGGAAGCGUAGACAAUAUAUUUGAGGACAAGAGAGAAAAAUUAGGGAUGAUCAAGAGGGAAUCAUAUCAACUCAUAAAAACACCAGCCUUAUAGAAUAAUUCCUUGCAAAAAUCCCCAUGUUACACGUGACCCAAAAAAAAAAGGAAGAAAAAAGAAAAGAAAAAGUGUUAAAGACAAAUGUUUCUGCAGUUAUCUAAAGUGAGCUCCAAAACUUUUUUAGCUGAUUUAUCUGCUGCUUAUUGUGAAAUGUACUGCCCUCAGCUUCUUCAUCAGACAUAGUAAAUAAUUACUUUUGUUUCAACGGGUGAUAUAAAGAAGAGCGAAUACUGAAUUUGGGUAGGAAGAUAAAUCUACACAUAUGUGAAAUAUCACUCUCAUUCUGUCAUCACGGCAACUGAUUUGGCAGGACACCACCACAAUCAACUCGAACUCGGCAAGAGAGUCAUAUCAUUUUCCUGUUGUAUGAUUCUAGUGAAUGGUUGGUUCUGCCAUAAGCCAAUACAGAACGAGCAUGAAAUGACUUAAAAUUAUGCGCUCACAUUCUUUUCCAAUGGUCUAUGGAACCAAGACAACUUCAUCUGAUACAUAUUGAUAACUGAGACUAAUGUUGGUUUCAUAUAGAACUGAAUGAGACUUUCAUACAUUUGCUUUCUAAUCAUACCAACUUAAUUAACAAGUGACGGACAUAGUGCUCCUUAACUGGUUGUCUCAUUUAAUUCUGCGCUUCAAGGGUUUGAUUCCAUUUAACUAACCUUAAUACCUUAUACUAAGAGGAACUUGACAACUUUAUAUAGUUAGCCUUUUCACAUAAUCAAUAGCCUCUCCAAAUUGGUUCUUGAUCAAAUGGGUGCUGUUGUUGUGGGACUUCUGUACCUUUGGUGGAAGAGGAAGGGAAGCUCGAUCUAGAUUCACCAAGCAUCGGAUUUCCUUGUGCCGCGAAAGAGCUUAAGCUUGUGAGGUUGGCGUCUUCUUGUGGUUGAUAACCGUUGAACGGCAGUGCUUUCAAUAUUGCUGGACUUGGUAAGUAGCUCAUGCCUAACAGGCUUGAUGGCCAUGGAAGUGAAGGUUGGCUUGUAGCUUCUCUAGCUAAGAUCCAAUUCAUGUACAUGUUCAUAUCUACCCUGUUGUUGAUGUUGUCAUUAAUUUGCAUACCAUCGGGACCAUUUGAGGUGUUGACGAGAUUAUUUAAGAUUGAUACAUCAAGUUCUCCCAGCUCACUUAACGAGGUUGUAUUGCAUGGAGACUCCAGCAAAGGUGGCAAUGGUGGAGUGUUCGGUUGCGUUUUCUUUCCAUUGGAGCUCUUCUUGAAAACCCUACAGACAACCCACUCCUCCUGUGGAACAAAAAGGGAUGUUAUCCAUUGUUAUUGAAAAGGUCUUACAUACAAUAACUAGGAUGCUCUUUGAAAGUUCCAUUUCUGCAAGACCUUUGUGGAUCUGUAGGGAAAUUUGGUCUGGAGCCUAUACUCAUGCAUCACCCAAUUGGUCUUCUCGCCCUUGGGGGCUCUUCCUUUGUAGAAGACUAAGGUUUUCUUCAUCCCAACCAAGACCCCGCAGUGGAAGAUCUCCUUGUCUUUGCCCGUUGUCUUCCAGUAACCAGCGUCGGUCGCUCGGUUGGUCCGCAUCCCAGUUGGGUACUUGCGAUCCCUCAAGCUGAAGAAGUACCACUCUUUCUCCCCCAUGCUUGCCUUCCCUGCAAUCAUUUGGAACCAAAACAAUUAAAUUCUCUUCAAGUUUCGUUACCAAGAUCAAAUAAGACUUGCCCCAGCAAUAUCCUAUCACUAAUUCUUUGUUCUGAACAAGAUAUGUUUACUGGUUGAAAAUAAAAAUCAUGAUUCAAUGCCAUGCAAAACUGGUUAUGAAAGGGAAAAGAUUAGUAUGAAGACCCCAAAUGGACAUGCAACUCGGGUUGAUAUUGAAGACGAAACUUGUGUACCUGGGAGGUCCCAAGGCUCGCACUUAUUGAGAUCGACAUCGGCGAUGGCUUUAGCAGCGAAUCCGAAGUCCGAGACCUUGCGGGUUAGGUAGUAAGUGAUGAGCUCUUCGUCGGUAGGGUGGAAUCUAAAGCCAGGAGGAAGGUUUUCCUCCAUUUUAGGCUAAAUGUGGAUAACUCGCAUGGGUUCAGGAGUUGGGAAGAAGUCCUCUUAAUGUUUAGGAUCUGUCUUAGAAGAACAAGAGCAGCACUAGUAGCAGAGGAACAUGAACGACAGAUAUUAAUAAGGUCGGGGAAUGUCACCUUCUAGUAGUAAUGGAGACUUUUUCUUCUGGAUCUCUCUCUCUUUUUAUUUUUAUUUUUUUUAGGUACAGCUUCUAGAUCUUUUUUUAAAUCUCAUCCACCUCAUUGAAAAAGAUGGCGAACGUAUUGCAAAGUUUGGAUUGCGAGAAAUUACAACAUUGGUUCUUAUUACGAUAAUGCCAUCGAAGUACCUAGUGGGAGAAGUGGUGGAGGGGUUUCUGUAGUGGCUUGUGGGUAACAUUGGGACGAACGGAGGGCACUUGAAGGGGAGUUGGAGUAUGGGUCGCACUCCUCCAGAUCCCCUUGUCCCCCCGUUCCAACCAACUCCAACCGUUCCUACCCACCCGCCUAGGUCCGCAUAGCCGCGCACGCUUGGUUGCCACCAGCCAAUGGAAACGCGACGCAGUGUUCCCCUGGUGCAUUGCACGUGAGAACAGGCUCUCCUGCAAGCUUAGUUUUUGUACUCAAAAAUAAUUAAAAAAAAAGUUUUUGUACGGCAUCCUCAUCAAGGGACGCUAACAGCACUCGAGGUUACAUCACUUCACAGUUAUUUUAUAAAUACCGAAAGCCGCAAGUACUAGGCAAUUAUACGCACUUUCCAUUCUACUUUGGGAAAAACUUGUCCUUGUUACCUAACGCAUUUUUAGCAUGAGAAGCUAGAAAUUAGAUUUUUUUAAUUUUUUUAAAAUAUUAUUUUCAUUGUUUUUAAGCACUUUUUGAAUUUGUUUUAAGAAUAUUUUUUGAGCAAUUCAAAUGUAUGUCUAAUUUCCAGCACUCAUCCAGGCAUUAACAAGUAUGGGUAACUUUCUGCCUCCAAAACUAUGGAUAUAAAAAGAAUUUUAAAAAGCAUUAGUGAUAUGCAGAAUCAAUCACGUAUAUGUAGGCUUAGAAAUAGAGAUAGGUAAAUGCCGAAAAAGUUAUGAACCAUAGGUACAAUCAUUUUGGCAUUGAUUGAUCCUCUUUGAUAUUUACUCACAAGAAAUUUAUGAGAUCUAAUUUUAGUCAUUAAAAUAAUAGGAGCAAAACUUGGUAAAUGCAUUAUUUGUAAUAUUUAUUAUUAUAAUGGAUUAUUAAAAUAUUUGUAUGUGUACAAAAAAGCUCCUAGUCCAUAUUUGGUAAUCAUAAACUCUAGUUUUGUUCUGGUACGGUAAUCAUAAACUCUAGUUAUCCCUAUAUUCCCAGCAGCUAAUUGAUUAACUCAUAUGCCUUGGAUAAUAUGCUUGUAUUUAAAAUAUUUGAGAACCAUGAUCACAAGAUUUGGCACCUAUCUAAUUUUUUUUUUUUUUGUAUACACCAGACUUCUUAACCUAUGUGCAUCAUUCGUGUUAGAACAUAUUUAGCACCCGUCUCCAUGCCCUAACCCGGCUUAGUUCGGUUCAGCUCAGUUCGCAUGUACGUGUAUUAAAGAUUUUCUUUCGAACCUCCUCAAAUAUCCUUAAGGGCAUAGCCAAAUCCUUUUCACAUAUAAAGGACACAAGAAAUCUUUUUAUUCCCCAUGUAGGACUAAAAAACCUCAAAACAAUAUGAAAUAAUAUUUGGAGGGAAUUGAAUUGGAAAUUUUAAGUUUCCAAAAUUUUAAAUUUUCUACCAACAAUCUCUCACAAAAUUCAAAAUUUUUAAAUAAUAUUAAAAUAAAAUAAUACAAAUUUCUGAGUGCUUAUACUAUGUAAUGGGUAAAAUGACUUAACCUUACUUAAUGUGAACAAUUUUCAUCUGAAGAAAAUGAAGUAAACCAGAUCUUGAACUACAUUUUUUUGACUCAGACUUCAACUACCAUAUACACAGUGCAGAGAUCCUUCAUUGUUAGUCUGUGCAUUAAUGGCUCUGUACAAGUAUCUUGAUUUUUUAUGAGAGUUACUGGAGAUUGGCUAACUCUCAUAUCCGUAGCUAUGUACGGAUACUCUCACAUAGGUGAGCCCCUCCAAGAAUGAUGUAGAGUCACAUCUCAUGAAAAAUACCAUCUCGAAUCUUAUUCAUAAUUACAGCUCUUCCUUACUAUACAUAAGAGCACUAAACACCAUAAGGAUAGGAUAGAGUCUAUGACUUCUAUAUCAAAUAAAUUAUAUGUACUCUCUGACCAACCAAUUAGCUUGUUAUUACCACAUUGAAUCUCCUUCAAGGGGUCUCCUAUCACAGAGAUUGGGUUCCCACUAUUGAAAAGUCCUUUAUAGGCAAAAUCCCAUCCCUCUCGGUGUCUCAAGAAUCUUAAUCCUAUUCAAGCCUUUAGUAAGGCAGUCAGCAAGAUUUUGAUCAGAUUUUAUAAAAUUUAACACUAUUAUAUCAUGCUUUUAUUGCGAUCUAAUAGACUUUUAUCUUAACUGAAGAAAAAAUUAUCUGAUCGCAUUAGAUACUAGAAAGAAAAUUGAAUAGAUUAGCAAUUAAAAUUUUUAUAAUGUUUAUAAAAUCUUACUUUGAUUCGCAGUGGAAGACUUGAUCAAAGUGAAAAAGGUUCCUCAAUCGAUCUGCUUCGUGAGAUCUGAAUGCGCAGAUCUUCUACUUCGUAUGCACGUCAAGCAACGUAGGAGAGAGGGAUGAAGAACUCUUCAAGAGGAAGAAAGAGGAGACCCUUAAGAUCAGAUUUUAAGGCUAGGAAGGACCCUACAUGCCACACCACCAAGAAAAGGGAGGACGCCAAGAGGAAAGAGAUGCCCAGGGGAGCACGCCAAGAAAGAGGGGAUGCCCAAGAGGAGAUCUCAUCUCUAAACUUAAGCUUGAUUAAUUUCUCUCUUUUCCACACCCUUCCUUAAAUAGUCAAGAGAUCCUAGAUCAAAUUAAAAAUCUUUAUGUAUUAGAAAUAGGACUCUCCAUAUUUGAAUCAAAUCCAAACUCUCUAAACAUAAGGAUUCCCAAGCAAAGUAAGAGAGGCGCUAACUUGCACCUCUCUCUUCAUGCCGCACACCCAAGGGGACCCUCCCCCAUCUUGAUCAGCCCAUGUGAUGAGAGAACAUUUGAGAAAUAUGGCUAAAUCGAUCAAAUCAGAUUUGGAUUUAAUUCAAAUCUAAUUCGAAUCCGAUUCGAAUCAAAUUCGAAAAGACUGCUAAUCCUAAUCCAAUUAGAAUUCUUGUUCAAGUUCAACUUAGUUAAUUAACCCAAUUAGUCUUAAUAAAAUCAUAUCUAAUUAAUUUAGAUCUGAUCUAAAAUAAUUAGGACUCGAAUCCAAUCUCUUAUAAUUGCUUGAAAUAUUAAUUUGAUCAAUUUCAUCUCCGAAAUCAAACCUACACCUCAUGUGCAGUGCUAGUUGCAUAUAGUCAAUGUUUAAUUCUAUAUGAUCCAUAACUUAAUUUUCAAUUAAGUAAAUCUACAUAUUCAAUUAAGUCUCAUACUUUCAAAUUGAAUACAUAAAUAUCUGAUCAAUUCUUUUCUAUGUUGUUUGACUUUGUGCAUGACUCCAUAGAUUUGAACACUAAGUUGGUAGCAUAGGAACCACUUCCUAUACUAAUCGAAGUAAUCAUCUAGUAAUGAUACCCGAUGUCUAGAUAAAUUAAAUAUUUAUAAAGCAACAUUCAAGAUCUUCGAUAUAUGGUAACUGCAUAAUUCAUCCUUUUAACCCUAAUUCUCAAGGUGACUUAGGGUUUAAUUAUCAACCUUGAAAUAGUCAUCUUCAUUGUAUUUCAAUCUUUUUCAAAUGCCAUUUCUUAGUUAUCUACGUAUGAUUGUGACAUCAUUCAUAAUGACAACACAAAAAUCACUCUUAAUUGAAAAAGUAAAUCCAUCUUUGAUUAAAAGGCCUACAAAAAUUAUGUUCAUCAAAAAAGAUGGACAAUAGUGAUAGUCACUUAAAACGAUAUUAUUAGAAUUAAGAACUAGCUCGACAAUUUUUAAAGCUAAGAUUGAAACAUGACUUACAUCUCUCAUAUUCAUAAAUCUCUCGUUAUUUUUAAAUUUUUUACUAAUCUUAAGUGCCUGCAAUGAAUUGCAGAUAUAAAUCAGACUUUUGAUAUCCAAUAUCCAGAUAGUAGUAUCAUAGAUAGAGAAAUUAUAAGAUAUUAUCAUAUAAGCAUUUUGAUCAGCAAUCGAUUGUUUAUUUCUCUUCCUUAGUCUGUUUGGAUCAAAGAAUGCUUCUAUUUAACCCUGAUCUGAUAGAGUACAAGCAUCCAUCUUUUGCCAUGUAUCACCACAAUCAUGUCCUUGUAAGAAUAACUUAAUCAAACUCAACCACUCGAGAACUUGACAACAUUGGAAUAUCAUUCAAUAACGUCACAUUAUGCUGACCUUCGUACUAGCUAAUGAUGAAGGACCAUGUGUACCACACAGAAAUAGAUAUAUUUAAUCUUGUUGGUUACACACCCGAUUAGUUUAUUAGUCAAUUUAAUCGCCCUAUCCAAAGUCUCGUCAUGCAAUUAGGAUACGUAAGGUUUGGUGGACCACAAACAAACAAGGAGGCUACUGUGGCUAACAAGAGCUCACCAAACCUUAAGACCCUUAUCUCUUCUAUACGCGUGCUUUCGCAUUCGUGGGUUUGAAAUCUUGCGUUGAUGCGGCUUCUCUGCUGCCCGUUAUCGAAGGGAAAACGUGGUUCCGAAGGUGAGAGAGCUUUUCGGGGAUGGUGCAUGGCCUUGGUUCACGCCUAUAAACUCCGGGUGUUCGUUCCUAACAAGAAGAAUUUCGUUGGGUACUGAAAGCGAUGCCUUCUCGAUAUCACUCGCCUUUGGGUACCACUGACCAAUUCCUCCAUCAUUACCAAACUGCAUUUAUAAAUGCAUGAGGGGAAAACAGCUAAGCUUCUUGCACCACUCCUUUCUUCUAGAUGUCCCUUGGUUUCAGAGACGAAGACGUCUUAACUGGUAUUUGAGUUGCUAUAUAUGUUUUUGUGUCACUGGCUGUGGCUGUACUUAGUCACCUCUUUCACCGAAAGCCAACUCGCAGUUUGGGCCUGGUUGGGUCGAUAUUUAGCUGGCUCUUGGUAGGACUCCAGUUGGAGCAUGUCAGCAAUUUGAAGUUAUGCUGGCUAGGUUAUCAUAGUUGAAAGCUCAUGUAACCUGAAGCCAACAUAAAUUUCUAUGUAAGGUUCUAAAUCCAACAUAAAUUUCUACGUUAUAUGGUUUUUCCCCUCCCAUACUAUUCAAGUAGAAAAAGCUCUGAGCCCAUUUUAACCAGACGUUAGCACAUGCAAUAGGAUUCCCUUUCUUGGAAUGAAACAUAUAUAUAUAUAUAUAUAUGUUGUAGGGCUCCUAACCUCAAGUGAAGUAAAAUCAUCCAUAAUUUGGCCCGGUUUUGGUGGCAUUCCUUCUGCAUUCCAUAUCUAUAUAUUAAACCAAUAUAAUAUGCAAUACAACAACAUAUGAUCAAAUUAGAAAAUCAUAAUCAUUCAAAUUUUCCUGUCACGUGAGCCACAUGUGCUGAUGCUAGCUAUGAGAAAUUCAAAGUGAAUUGGACGCACCAUCCAAGCACCAGGGCAACUUAACUUUUAAUGCCUAUCCAUUGGAAGAACUAGAUUGGACUUAUCAAUAUCCCAUAUGCUAGAAACUCUAGUAAGAAAAUGCAGUUCUAACAGUGCAGCUUUUUUUUUUCUCUCUUUCUUUCUUUCUUUUUUCCUACAGUAGAAACAACAGUGCAGUUUUAAGACAUAUCCUAUAAGAAGUUGACUAAUUCGCAGGGCAGAUCUUUUAUAUAUUUUUGUCCUACUUUACUCCUUUUUCAGGCACAAGCUACAAAUCAUGCACCAGACACAGGACAGAAGUGUUAACUCACAUCCUUUGAGCCUAUGGAAAGUGGAUUAGCACCCAGCACAGGGUUGUGCCUUUUCCCCACUGUACCAAUUUUGUCAGUGCCGCUCAAACAAAUUCUCAAUUAAAGAGUGUCAACCUUCCUCAACCAUAGAGGGGUAACUUAGCACCCAGCACAGAGUUGUGCUCUUCCCUGUUGUACUAAGUUUUUUGGUGCAGCUCAAACAAGUUCUCAAUUAAAAAGUGCUAUAACUUCGUCAGCCAUAGAGGGAUAAUUUCUCAUUUUGCGAUGAUAAACUGGAAGAUCCCUCUAUUGGAAAACGUGAAAGUCUUCAAUUGGUUGGUUUACAACAAAAGGAUUCUCACUACUGAUGACAUAGAUAAAUCAGAUUGGUCCUCCUCCUCCUCCCUCAUGUUUAUUAUAUGGAAACGAAGAAGAAACAGUGGAUCAUUCAUUCUUGAAAUGCUUCUACUCCUGCCUCAUAUGGGACAAGAUAAAUAGGGCAUUAUCAAUACAGUCUACGCCAACCUUAGUGGAAGAAAUCUGGAUAAAAUGAAGGAGAUCAAUCAUGGUUAAGAAAUUGACAAGAGCAAGCAACUGCUUGGUCCUGAUGGUUAGGUGGAGUAUAUGGACAGAGAGAAACAACUGGACUUUUAUGUUUGAGGCCCAGUCAGCAAUGAAACUGCUGGAACACUCUCUAGGAUUAUUGGAUAGCUGGAUGGUCUGUUUACAAGAACAGAUUCAAGACCCUCUGCAAGAGCUAAUGAGCAAGAUGCUUAAGGAUACCAAAUCACCAACCAAAGCACGAAGCAGAGCGGCAUAUAGAGUGAGGCUUUUAAAGCCAAUUAUUAUUGAUUCGUAGCCAAAAAAAAAAAAAAAAGGAAGGUAAAGUGGUCGCUGCUACUGUAAUCGAAAACAACGAAACAACGACAGCCCUCAACCCUUUUCUUGCUUUUGCUCAAGUUAAGCCAACUCGGCUUAUGGCCAAAACAGUUAUAUGUACAACAGUCCUUUUGUACAUCAACCAUUUUCAACAAACUGGGUAAGAAACCUCCCAUUCCAUCAAAAAAAAAAAGGUCCUAUGUUUCUACCCAUAUGUGAUUAUUUGUACAAUUAACUUACGGUCUUCAAUUAUGAAAUUAAUGAAGUGACAGUGUCACGCCCCGAACCCAACACCCGGAUCGGAUACGUGAUGGCCAUACACUCCUUAGAGCAAGCCCUAAAGAAUAUGCAAGGCCAAAUUAAAUCAUUACAAUCUUAUCAACCAUAAUAUUUAAUUUCAACAGUAAUUCAUAAAACUUGCAUAAUUACAAUUAACAUUCCUUCAAUCCUCUGAUCAAGUAUCAACGGUACUCUAUCUAUGCAUCCGCUCACUCACAAAUCCAUACCAUAGCCAACCAUGGANNNNNNNNNNNNNNNNNNNNNNNNNNNNNNNNNNNNNNNNNNNNNNNNNNNNNNNNNNNNNNNNNNNNNNNNNNNNNNNNNNNNNNNNNNNNNNNNNNNNNNNNNNNNNNNNNNNNNNNNNNNNNNNNNNNNNNNNNNNNNNNNNNNNNNNNNNNNNNNNNNNNNNNNNNNNNNNNNNNNNNNNNNNNNNNNNNNNNNNNNNNNNNNNNNNNNNNNNNNNNNNNNNNNNNNNNNNNNNNNNNNNNNNNNNNNNNNNNNNNNNNNNNNNNNNNNNNNNNNNNNNNNNNNNNNNNNNNNNNNNNNNNNNNNNNNNNNNNNNNNNNNNNNNNNNNNNNNNNNNNNNNNNNNNNNNNNNNNNNNNNNNNNNNNNNNNNNNNNNNNNNNNNNNNNNNNNNNNNNNNNNNNNNNNNNNNNNNNNNNNNNNNNNNNNNNNNNNNNNNNNNNNNNNNNNNNNNNNNNNNNNNNNNNNNNNNNNNNNNNNNNNNNNNNNNNNNNNNNNNNNNNNNNNNNNNNNNNNNNNNNNNNNNNNNNNNNNNNNNNNNNNNNNNNNNNNNNNNNNNNNNNNNNNNNNNNNNNNNNNNNNNNNNNNNNNNNNNNNNNNNNNNNNNNNNNNNNNNNNNNNNNNNNNNNNNNNNNNNNNNNNNNNNNNNNNNNNNNNNNNNNNNNNNNNNNNNNNNNNNNNNNNNNNNNNNNNNNNNNNNNNNNNNNNNNNNNNNNNNNNNNNNNNNNNNNNNNNNNNNNNNNNNNNNNNNNNNNNNNNNNNNNNNNNNNNNNNNNNNNNNNNNNNNNNNNNNNNNNNNNNNNNNNNNNNNNNNNNNNNNNNNNNNNNNNNNNNNNNNNNNNNNNNNNNNNNNNNNNNNNNNNNNNNNNNNNNNNNNNNNNNNNNNNNNNNNNNNNNNNNNNNNNNNNNNNNNNNNNNNNNNNNNNNNNNNNNNNNNNNNNNNNNNNNNNNNNNNNNNNNNNNNNNNNNNNNNNNNNNNNNNNNNNNNNNNNNNNNNNNNNNNNNNNNNNNNNNNNNNNNNNNNNNNNNNNNNNNNNNNNNNNNNNNNNNNNNNNNNNNNNNNNNNNNNNNNNNNNNNNNNNNNNNNNNNNNNNNNNNNNNNNNNNNNNNNNNNNNNNNNNNNNNNNNNNNNNNNNNNNNNNNNNNNNNNNNNNNNNNNNNNNNNNNNNNNNNNNNNNNNNNNNNNNNNNNNNNNNNNNNNNNNNNNNNNNNNNNNNNNNNNNNNNNNNNNNNNNNNNNNNNNNNNNNNNNNNNNNNNNNNNNNNNNNNNNNNNNNNNNNNNNNNNNNNNNNNNNNNNNNNNNNNNNNNNNNNNNNNNNNNNNNNNNNNNNNNNNNNNNNNNNNNNNNNNNNNNNNNNNNNNNNNNNNNNNNNNNNNNNNNNNNNNNNNNNNNNNNNNNNNNNNNNNNNNNNNNNNNNNNNNNNNNNNNNNNNNNNNNNNNNNNNNNNNNNNNNNNNNNNNNNNNNNNNNNNNNNNNNNNNNNNNNNNNNNNNNNNNNNNNNNNNNNNNNNNNNNNNNNNNNNNNNNNNNNNNNNNNNNNNNNNNNNNNNNNNNNNNNNNNNNNNNNNNNNNNNNNNNNNNNNNNNNNNNNNNNNNNNNNNNNNNNNNNNNNNNNNNNNNNNNNNNNNNNNNNNNNNNNNNNNNNNNNNNNNNNNNNNNNNNNNNNNNNNNNNNNNNNNNNNNNNNNNNNNNNNNNNNNNNNNNNNNNNNNNNNNNNNNNNNNNNNNNNNNNNNNNNNNNNNNNNNNNNNNNNNNNNNNNNNNNNNNNNNNNNNNNNNNNNNNNNNNNNNNNNNNNNNNNNNNNNNNNNNNNNNNNNNNNNNNNNNNNNNNNNNNNNNNNNNNNNNNNNNNNNNNNNNNNNNNNNNNNNNNNNNNNNNNNNNNNNNNNNNNNNNNNNNNNNNNNNNNNNNNNNNNNNNNNNNNNNNNNNNNNNNNNNNNNNNNNNNNNNNNNNNNNNNNNNNNNNNNNNNNNNNNNNNNNNNNNNNNNNNNNNNNNNNNNNNNNNNNNNNNNNNNNNNNNNNNNNNNNNNNNNNNNNNNNNNNNNNNNNNNNNNNNNNNNNNNNNNNNNNNNNNNNNNNNNNNAGUCUUCCUCCUCCUCUUGUUUGUUUUGUUUUUUUUUUUUUUUUUUUGGGCUGUGGCUGAUUCUGGACUGGGGUGUUACCGACGGUAUGAUCAGUGUUGAGUGUAUCUUUAGUUUGCAAAUUCUAGAAAGACCAAAAAGAAUACUUUUUAUUGGAGCGGAAUGAGCAGAGCGAGUGAUGCGUGGUGCAAUGAUUGGGUCCAAUUGGAUUCCACGAUUCGAAUUUUUGAACUACGACCGACUGGUCUGUCCAAUUUUUGGUACAGACCAUUUCGGAAUUGGGGUACGGAGGGUUGGUUUUCUUUGAAUCAGGCCUGUACGUUUGGAUUGCUUGGGCUCUUCUGCCCUCUACUCUGUUUUGUAUCUUUAUUUUUUCCUUACUUUUGCCCUUUUAUUUUUUAUUUUCUGUUCUCAUUUCAUAUCUAAUAAAAUGCAUGAAUGACAGGUUCUUCUACCAUUUUGCUAACAAUGUUAUUUUCAUUCGGAUGCGUGGUGAUUUGCAAAGACUGCCAUAAUUUCCAUAAAUUUGUGAAACAUUCUCUCAUUUUCUUCUCCUUCUUCUUCUUCUUUCGGUUUUUUCUUUCUCCCACAAUUUUCUACUUCACUGGGUCUCAUGCCAAUGCCCAUAUCUGCAAAAGUACCAGAAUUUCCUUGGAUGACAGAUUAUACAUGCUUAUAAAGAUGUCAUUUCUCUUAUUUUCUUCACAAAUUUUAUUAAUUAAUAUCUAGAAUAAAAAAUGUAUAUGCAUGGUAAAUCACGAGGCAAAUGCCGUGUUGAUCAAUCCUAGUGCUAGAAAGAAUCUCCUCAUAGCUAUCAUGUCAUAGGGUCCGGGUGCACUGGCGCAGUUUGAAAUGUCAUUUGAUUCUCAAUGAUAAUGUGGCAUGAAAUAAAUUUUGAUAUUAGAUCGAUGUUCUAUAGUACCUUCUAUAUGCUAAGCUGACUGAAUGUUCCCACUUCCCAGCAUAUAUUGCUCAAAUUAUAUUAUAAAGCUUCGAUUUUUCUACUUUUGGAAGUAAUGGUAACUAGCAAGUCCAACAAGAGGUAAAUUAUAUCUUGCACGACCCGUGCCAAUGUGGCUAUGCGUUUUAUCAAUCAGUUUGUUUUCUUGUUAUGGGUUAAUCAUCGAGAUAAAUGUAUAAUGAAUGGAUUCAUAGAAAAGAGAUGAGAUGAUCGAUGUAGCAGAUAGCUAUAUAGUGUAUAUGAUGCAAGAUAUAAUAUUUUCUAACAAAAUGGGUAGAUAACAUGGUUAUCACGUGAAUAGAGCGUGAGCCGAAUGUUCUAAAGUCAGAAGGCAAGCGGGGCAUCGCGGAGGAGUAAAUUUUUUUUUUCCUUUAUGUAACUCUUUCUUCUGAUGGUCAGUCCCUAUGAUUUAUCAAGCUCGAACUUCGAGGCCGUCCAGAAGUAGAUGCGUAGGGUAAAGAGAGGGGAAAGGAGUGGUGGAGAAGUCCUAAAGAUCGUCGAAGUUUUAAACGAUGAUCCCAGAGACAUCAUUUUAAAUACAGUUUUUCGUUCUAAAUUAAUGCAAGCUCGUGCUGAAAGGGAGUCCUACCAAUAAUAAAAGCACGGAGAGAAAAAAGAAAACUAAAACUUUAAUAUACCAUAGUUACAACUAUAUGAGGAAAAAGAUAUAGAUAAUUAAAGGCAAAGGCAGUGGCUUGGGUGAUUUUUGGAAAGUGGAUAGGAGUCCAUAAUAUGUGGUGAAUUUUGAUAUUUGUUUCUAUCAAGUCACACUAAUACACUGAUGAGUUAAUGGUGUAAAGUAUUGCUUGAAUCCCCAACUACGUUGUGUAUUUUGUAUUGAUCGAGGGCUCGUGUGGAAACUCUGAUUCACUUGGCAAUGGACUUGCACUGCAGCCAGAAGUAAAUAGUGAAAUCCCUAUAAAAUUUGCCUAGUGAGUUUCAACGUUGAUUCUAAAAUUAUAUUUGUUUAAUAUAAUAAUAACCUAUCCAAUUAUAACUAGAAGGUCAGUUAGUAAUUACAUCAUAAAUGGGGCUUUCAACUUUUGUGUUCUCAUGUUUUAUUUAACAUGUCUUAUUCCAUUGGGUUACGAUUGAACCUGACACUGCUUAGCCAACACUAGGUAAAGCGAACAGUGUAGAUGCAAAAAUGGACUUAUGCAGCGGGGACAACAUAUUUCUCUCUUUAUCUGCCGACAAUAUAAAAAGAUAUUCUUGUCUCACUUAGUACAUAAGAAAGUAAUGGUUCAAGGAAUCCCGGCGCCUAUGUGCAUGACCAUGUGCAUUUUCCAUCGUAAGAAGUCGGACAAUCAAAUUAUUUAUUUCUUAUUUUUUCAGAGACAUAGCAAUUAAACAAUGUUUGUUGUUUACAUUUAAAAUAAAAUUUUGUUCCACUCUUAAUAUCUUUGAAUCGUAUAGUUGUUAUCGUACGAUGUUUAUUUGUGAGUUCUCGAUGGUGAAGGAAAUUGAUGUUGUACAUUUGAGAAACUCAACUUAGAAUUUAACAAAUUUAAUGGCAAAACAAGUUAACUUACAACUUUAUUUUUCAAAAAUUUAAAUGAAAAGAUUGGAUAAAAUUUAUAAAGCGGAUAGAUCACAUAAUACUUCUUAAAAGAAUAAGAAAUAGAUCGUAAAUGAGAAGUUGAAAAGUUUUGAUCCUACUAAUGCAUGCAUAGGGAUAAAACUAAAAGCCUGAUUGCAUAAAGAUCUAAACAAGUUGAAUUCACAGUUAUAAGCUCAUGAGCUUGCAAUUCCAAUAUUAAUCGAAACAUCAUUUUGGAUACUCUUAAGAUUCGGUUUUAACAAAUCGGCACUUUCCCAGGCUAAGUUUGUUAUUGGAAAAAAAAGAAAAACAAUAAGAAGCAUUACUUGAGAAUAAACUAAACCACAUUUAGCAAUAGCAUACAGUAAACGUUCUUUAGGCUCUGUUUUGACCCAUCUUCUUACAAACUCCCAAAACAGACAAGCCUCCUAAAGCAUACGAAACAGACACGCUUUAUAUCCGGGCAUACCAACUUGCUUUUGGGUCAAGUCACUUGAACCAGAAACCAAGACAUGUCGAUUUUAUUUUGGCCCUCAAAAAUCAGAUUGGGACCCAUUGGCAUCCCUAAUAUCUCUGCUUUAGAGGCCAUCGUCCUAAUCUCGUUUUGAGAGCCGGCUGGCAACUAACUCCAUAUCAUCCAACUUUGCUUAGAUAAAGCAGCCAUCGUAGUCCCUAGCAAGUGUUCAAAAGCAAAACCACCUCCUCCUCCUUCCAUCAUAAAUGCCCCAGAACCUUCUCGCGGUGCUUGGCCUGGAGAAUCCCAGUCACCCAGUAUCCUCCCUUCCUUGCCAUGGCCAAACCACCUUCCCUUGCCAGAAGGAAGAGGGUGUGAUGUUUCUCCUCCAUGCCUCCAUCUCUCUUAGCUUCUUGCUACUCCUCAUCCACCUCUCUUCCUUCCUCCUCACCAAGCUCUUCACCUUUCUCCAUAAUAGAGCCAUCUCCAAACACCAAGGGUAACUCUCUCUCUCUCUCUCUCCCUCCCUCCCUCUAUCUAUCUAACCAACUUACCAACUACUUUUAAUGCAGGGAUGUUCAGCUCAGUGCUUUUCAACAUGAGAACAAGACCGUGUCAACCUCGGACGGCUACUCCGAGAAGGAUGUCGCCGACGUGGUUUGCAGAGAAGAUCUACCGUUCUUCUACAGGGCAAGCGGCGUCAAGGAUUCCCUACUUACCGAGCAAGCAAAAGAUUCCAAUGAGCAGCAUUCCUUGGAAGGAGAGGAUAGCUCUGUCUCGGAAUCCCAGCACGGUUCUCUGUCAGAGAAUCUUGGCCAUGACAAGCUUGGAAUCGAGUACGGUGAUGAUCUGAUCACUGAAGUCCUAACACCUUCGGAUUGCUCCGGAGCCAGCCCAAUCAUAUCGGCGUCUGAAGAAGAUGUUGCUUGUGAAGGUAAUCCUUCUAGUCCGAGUUGUAAAUGUUACGAUUCGACUCCCUCUUGUGCUGACAUUGCCGGUGCUGUUGAUAGAUGUUUGUCACGAAAUAGAAGCUCAUCGGACUCAUGAAGAGAAGAAUUUUUGGGAGGAUGAGACAUUCUCUGUGGUCAACAGCUCUCACUCAGAUAGCAGAAAUUUUCGGCUCGAGGAAAUCCAUCAUGGUAACGAAAAUUCUGGCGAGUCCACGUCCAAAAGCUCUAUUGAAUGGAGAAGCUCUGCAAUCCUCAGAGAUUCGGAGACAGAAUAUCCCUUCUCCUCUUCAUCCUGGAGGAGCUCUUCCAACUGGGAAUCGUAUGCACUCUUCCACAAGUAUGACGAGGAGAUGAUGUUCUUCGACCGAAUCAGUUCACGAAAGCUCAGAGAAUCAGGUUCUUCAAUAUAUCCUCCUUGCUAAUUCCCCAACACCCCCCUCUCUUUUUUUUUUUCCAGUCUCAAUUUGGCUUAGUGUAAGCAUUUGCUUUCAGAAUUACUGAGGUCCAUAAAGUACCAAUCAAGAUCAAUUUCCCGAAGGAUAGUUCGCAAAUUAUUCAUGAAAAGUAAAAACUCAUCGAUGAGAGAUAUGGAUCCAUACUUGGAAUUGGAGAGCGCUUAUGUGGCUCAGAUCUGUUUGACGUGGGAAGCUCUUAAUUGGAAUUACACCAACUUCGGUCCAGCGAAUUCCGAUCGAGACAUGGAAGAUUACUGCUUUCCUGCACGAAUUGCUCAGCAGUUCCAGCAGUUUGAGGUCUUGCUGCAACGAUUCAUAGAAAAUGAGCCUUAUGAGCAUGGUAGAAGGCCUGAAGUCUAUGCCCGGGUGAGGAGUUACUCUCCAAAGUUGCUCCAAGUUCCAGAAUUCAAAGGUGCCAUAACUUCCAAGUCCUACUCUAUAGCUGCAAUGCUUUUAUUUCAUCAUAAAUUAUGCUUGAUCUUACUUCCUUGGUGCUAUUUCAAUUGUUUGAUAAAAAGAUUCGGAUCAGGCUGACGAAGGCAAAGAAGAUAUGAUUUCAUCUACUGAAUUUUUAAUUAUUUUGGAACAUGCGAUCCGGACCUUCAUGAAUUUUCUCAAGGCCGAUAAGGAAAGCUGCUGCCAAAUGUUGAGAUCACUCAUAAAGAACCAAUUAAGUUCGGUUGAUCCAACUCUUCUUCAUUUGCUCAAGAAAGCUAAUAAAAAGGUUAGUUGCGCUGCCUAUUUAAGUUCUACCAUUUCGCUUUUUUCGCUUAUCUUUUAUUUGUAGUGUCAUAUUGCUCUUAACAUGAUAUAUAUCUUCAGAAAAAGAUGAGGCUCAAAGAACUUGGGAGGCAGUGGAGAUGUCAGAAGAAAGGGAAGACAAAGGAGGAAGAGGGGAUGGAGAUUCUGAUGGGGCUAAUAGACAUGAAGGUUGUGUCAAGGGUUUUAAGGAUGCCUGACAUCAGCGAGGAGCAGCUGCAUUGGUGCCAUGAGAAGAUGAGCAAAGUGAGAGUUUGGAAUGGGAAAAUACAAAGAGACUCCUCCCCACUUUUUUUCCCCGUUAACUGACUCUUCCCUUGUAUAAUCUACUUUACCUUUUUAGGUUGCUUGAUGACUGGAUAAAGUACUUGGAUAUGAUAUGUACCAAAUAAAAAUUUCUUGGAUAUGAGGACAAGAAUUCCAACCUUCUCUGUAAAUAUAAAGCACCGUAAAGAUACGGAAAACUGAGAGGCAACAUCUAAACAUGGUUGCAUGUGAUGACAUGGAUUUCGAGGAUUUGGAAGCCAUGUCGGGUAUAAAAAGGUGAAACGUCUGUGAUUUCUUCAUGAACAUUGAAAGACAAAGCUAAGUGAAGAAAAGUGAAAGGCAUGAGAGUGGAAGGAGUAGAGAUAGAGACAAAGCGCAACUCCAGCAUUCUUUUGUCUUAUAAGGGAGAUUUGGUAAUGGUCCCUGAAAAUGGGUUUUGGAUCAAAAGAGUUGAAGGCAAAUGGCAAAUCAAGAGUCUAUAUACAAUAUGGAAUGACUUUGUAAAUAAUUUGGUGACUGGGGCUCAUACGUCAUCACAAGUAUUUUGCACAACCUUUGCAUUAGUCAAAAUAUAUGCCCCUCCAAUCUUAAUUAAACAUAUCCAUGGGACAUCAUGUUUAAGACGAAAGGAAAGGAGUUAGUUUAAGAAGUUCUCUUAGUUCCCAUUUACAUCCAAAAAAAAGAAAAAAAGAAGGUUCUCUGUCCCGCCGCUAGUUGAUGUCCCGUCUCAAAUCCGGUUGGAGGUCAGCAACGUACCGUGCACAUGCUUAACCUAUUAGUCUUCAGCAACUUAUUUAACUGCAGAACUAUUCUUAGUAGAGUACAAGUUAAUUUUUAUAGAAUUUGGAGAUGUUUAUUGAUUUUUCUAGGCUAGGUCAUUAGAUUCUUGAUCAUGAUCAUUAGCUACUAAUCAAGUUACUGCAAUAUUACGUGAAGAAGUGGGGGAUCCAUAUUAGCUAGACCAAUCUUAGUUCUAUUUAGUCAAUCAACAAAACUGAACCUGCAGUAAAUAAUAAAAAUAAAUGCAUAGAAUAAAAUACAAUUAUGAUAUCCAAUUAAUUGUUUUUCUUUUGGUCUGAUUGGAGAGAGGAGGAAUUAACUAUUUCGAUUUACUCGACUUAGAUCUCUCAAAAAGAAUAAUAGAAAAUUAAAAAAAAUAAAAUUCUAAAUUAUUUUUUCUUAUUAAUUGAAUAAUAAAAUUGAUUAGAACUUUUUUAUUUGAACUAGUAAGGUCAAUUCUUAUCAAUCUGGGUUGAAUUUCUUUUCUAGGAAAAAGAGAAUCGGUUAUGGCUUUUUUUGAAUAAUCAUGACUAGUGAUGUAGAAAAUAUAUUUAAUCAAAAUCUUACUUAAAAAAAAAAUUACUUUAACUGGUCAACUUCUAGAUCUAAACGUCGUCACAAACUCCUACUUGUGGUGUACACUAUAUCCUCUAGAAGUGGCCCUACCUUUAUAGUAUCUGUUGAGAGGUUCUAGUGUUUGACGUGUUAAAAAUAGAUGCGGAGUAAAAAAGAUGUAGCCCUGGUUAUGGUUUCCAAUCAAAUUCUAGUGCAGUAGUUUUUUUUUUCAAAAUCGUGUCAAGAUAUAUCUAGAAUAACUAGUACUAUAGUAUAGAGAGGAUAUCUUUAAUCCCACAUCAAUUAUGAGUCAAAAAAAAUAUAGUUUAUAUAGAUUGAAAUCUUUUCUUUUCCGUGAGAUCUUUUUUAAAAGACAAAAUCAUGAGCCUCCAUACGACAAUAUUAGAGAUCAAAGCAGACAGUAUCUCAUUUAUGUGAGUGCAGAGGCAUAAGCUAACCAUUCAAGUUAUCCGACCUUGAUCCAUGACCGCAAUAUUGACGCAGUUUGUCGAAACGCCUCCUACCUACACAUACUCUCUUGACGAGAGGCUAUAUUGUAGUGUAGAGAAAGCAUGUUUAGUCCCAAAUUGAUUGUAAGUUAAGAGAAAGUAUGACUUAUAUGGAUUGGAAUAUUCUCUCUCCCGUGAGACAUCUUUUAAAGUCUCCCGUGAGACAUCUUUUAAAGGAUAAAAUCGUGAGUCUCCGUGCGACAACGUCAAAAGUCAAAGCGGAUAAUACCUCACGUAUACAGAUGCGGAGGCAUAAGCCAACCAUUCGAGUCAUCCGAUUUUUUGACCCAUGACCGCAAUAGUUAGAAUUAUCCAUAAUGUAUCUCAUGAUUUUCUUAAGUCAUUUUCACCCAGUAAUUGGCUUUUCUCCCAGCAUGAAGUAUAUAUCUAAAGUACUAUAAGCGGCUUAGAAAUGUCAUGCCUUUUUAUCUACACAAAUCAAGCAAGAAAGAGUAAUCGAUAGGCUCUCUUCUUGUCGAGUAACCAAUGAAUCUCCCUCCUCUCUGUAAGAAAAAUUUAAGCUGAUAAGAAAAGAGCCAAUGAUGUAUAUCUAGUUUAAUACUUCCUCGGCAUACAACCUAGACCAUGCACAUGGAGGUACUGCAAUAAUUGAAAAAAAAUAAGGAUAAAAAUUUGAUAAUCAAAUAAAUAAUUAGUAUAGAGAUGAUUUGAACUCGUCUUCCAGCAAAUUUGUGCUUUGUUACCGUAUUGACUAACUAAUUUAGGCCGUGUGGUUGGCAAAUAUUUUAAGAACUCCAAACCUAAUGGUCAGCCAAGAGAUACUCGCAAUAGGGCAAUUUGUGCAACCCAACCUUCCUACAGGUCCCCUCUAUUGCCUUCCUAAAUUUAUCAUUUCUAAGACCUAGUUUUCAUUUGGAAAAGAAAAUAUUAUGAGAAGAAAAUAGAAAACAAAAAAAGAUUCACUAAAUUAUUUUAGGAGUAACUCAAAUAUAGUACUCCUGCCCACGCGCUCAAAGGAUGUCAUAUUGGGCGUAGAUUUUUCUUUUCUUCCCUUUUUUUUUUUUUCCUUUUCUGCUUUGGUAAUAGAAAAGUGAGAUAACUCAACACAAUCCAAUGAAUGGGAUGCCCCCUCCGUCGGCUCUGAUAUAAUGAGAUAAGCUAGAAGAAAAAUCUUCAAACCAACUUUUUGAUCAGGCCUAAGCCAUACCCCAGCCUACCAUCCAGCUCACAACACAUGGCCCGUUCGUUUGUGGAGUUGGGCUUAGUGAACCAACUUUUUUAGCAGGCCCAAACUAGUGUACCACCAUCCAGCCUAAGUGUCAGUUUGCCGAUGCAAAUGUGGCUACAAAUGAUAAUGUUUCUAAGCGAAAUUCUUUGUGCACCACAGGUGGUUUAUGUGAUUGGUUCAUGUAGCCACCACUUUCUAAUACAUAUUUAAUAUCUACAGUUUUAUUUUUUGAUUUGAAAAUUUUGAAUAACAAAAAUAUCUAUAUCCUUUGUAAAAAAUUAUCUAUAUUAUGAUAUUUUGAAUGUAGAAAGUUAUAAUUUUGACAUAGAAUGUCAUAAUAUGCCACAAGAUAUCACAAUUUUUUCAAAAAAUAAGAGUAUUUUUAUCAUUCAAAAUUUUUAAACGAAAAAAGAGAAUCGCAGGCAUUAAAUGCGCGUUGGAAAGUAGUUGGAUAAAAAUAUCCUUUCUAUAUUAUACAUUCUGAGUUAUAUUAUGACAUUCUGCAUGCAGAAAGUCAUAAUUUGAUAUAAGAUGUCAUAAUAUAUUACAAGUUGUCAUAAUUUUUUGGAUCACAUUAUGACAUCAUGUAUGUAGGAAGUUAUAACAUGUCACAUGAUGUUAUAAUUUUUUUUAAAAACAGAGAUAUUUUCGUUAUACAAAAUUUUUAUAUAAAAAAUAAAACUAUAUAUAUUAAAUAUAUAUUAAAAAAUAAUAACUAUAUAGAUCAAUCACAAAAAAUAAGAUGUUUUACAUCGAAUUUUUUUAUACCGUUCGUAGUACACAAAGAAUUUCUCAUAUUCUUAGAUGCAAUCGGAAGAAAAAAUACCCAACUUGGAAGGCACAUGCGAAAAUGACCUUUGAAACUUUUUUGUUAUAUCCAGACAAGUGGCAGAUCGGAGUAUGAAAAUACUAUUUUUGAUAAAAAAUAUGUCGACAAAAUCGAUUUGACAUCAGAAAAAAUAAUAUGUCCAUUGGAAAGAAGUGGAGCCAUUUAACCCAAAAAAAAAGACAAAAAUAAAAUGAUCUCCUCCAGUAAAAUGAAAAAUUGGGUGCAAAUGAGAGGAGCACUAAUAUUUGAUUCCUUCAAAAAUAAUAUAUGGGUUAAAUUGAAAUAAAAUGGAGUUGAUAAAUGUACUCUUUAUUAUGUCAUAUCAAAAUUUAUCUUAAAUUCUCAACUAAUUAGUUCACGUGGUAACCAAUUCGAAUUGGAUCGGACUAGAUCAAAUACAAAUUAGGUCACAUAUCGGUUGGAUAAAAUAUUCAUCAACUCGAAUCCGAUAUAUUUAUUAAACAUAUCAAAAAUUUAGAUUUGAACAUGAUUUAUUUAUUAAACAAAUAACUCAAUCUGAUUUAUAUAAUUAAUGUAUUAAACAAGUCAAUUCAGAUUAAACGAAUCGGAUUAAAUAGGUUAAAAAUAAAAUAAAUAGAUUUUAUAUGUGCUAAAUAAAUUUUAAACAGAUUAAAUAGAUCGAAUUAUUAUUCGAACUAAUUAUUAAAUAAAUUAAAUAAAUUAAAAUGGAUAAUAUGGAUCUAAAGUUUAAACCUAUAUUUAGCCUAUUUAAUAAAUAUGUUCAAAAAAUUUGAUCUAUUUAUAAUUUAAAUUUAUUUAUAUCAAAUCCAAAUAUAUUUAAAGCAGAUUAUGUACCAAUCAAAUUGACAUAUUAGAUCGUAACUUGUCAUCCAUUCGUUUAACUUUGAAUUGACUUGAUAUGAUUUGUUUAGAUUAUUUUAAUUUAUACUUAGAUUAUUGGUAGAUUAUUGAUCAAUAAUUUUGAUACUUAUCAUCCAAAUAGUGGAGGUUACUCGUUUAAGUUUUGGAGAUGAAUUUUUGAUAUUUAAAAUAAUUUCUAAAUGACUUCUUAGAAAUGAUCAGCAAUACCCUCAUUAUUCUAAAAAAAAAUAGAUAUGAUGGUAACAUGUAAAUUUCUAUAUAUCCAUCAAAAAAGAAAAUAUAUACGGCUAUAAAUAGAUUGAGUUGGAACAAGAUCUAGCAAGGCCUAAAUGAUAACCUUUUUGGGUCCUACAGCUUAGGCCCAUAUACGAUCCGCAAAGAACAUGGAACAAGGUUGUUUAGGUGACAUCAACUGACCUAAUUGUGAUCCAAAUUAGGCUUAUUUGAGUUGGUUGCAUGCAAUCAAAUCUUUGAGUAGAUAAAGCUUAGACUAGGUGAAUUAUCAAGGCAGCAACGUCUCGCUCCACGGUGACUCGGAGAAUCUUUUAAUAAUUUUCGCAUUCCCCGUCAAUAUUUUAAUAGUUUUUAAAAUCUAAAAAUAAACGAAUUAAUGACAUGUCCCCUAGAAGAUAAUUCUGCCCCCGACAAUAGAGCUUUCGUUUUGUCGGACCGAAAUUGAAAUUUCGGGUUUGACCAAAAAGAAAUUGGCGCUUCUACCCUCUUGCCUUGAAACUUGUGGAACAAUGCAUGUCGCAGGAUGGAUAUACGAAGAAACGCUCAAAUGAACAAUUUGGGUGGACGAGAAAUACUACCACUAAUCCAAGGGCCAAGAAAGGCUUCAAUUCCACGCGUCUUUCUCUAGCUCAGGAGCCCAUGGACAGCGCUGGUGUCAAUCCGCCCCACCCGGUCUCUUAAAGUGUUGAAGCCUUGCGCGGAUCAUCUCAUCCCUCUCGAUUCUUGACCGUGGAAAAACGGCCACGAGAAGGCGUAGGCGUGGGGAACAGGAGAAAGGGGGAAAAGAGAAGAGCAUAGGAACAGCAGCCCCUCUUAUUUCUUUCCAAGCUUCCGGUAAGACUCAUCCCUCCCGUUUUCUCCUCCAAAUCCCCUCGCAAUCCAAGAUUCCUUUCUCUGCUCUCGCCCAAAUCAAAUCGGUCAAGAUCAAGAAUCGCCAACCACCUCCGCUAAAAAGUCCAAUCUCUCGCUUUUCCUUUUUGUUAAUCUAUAAUCUAUUAUGUAAAUAAAAACCCGGAACUUUUCUCGCUUUAUAAAUGGUUUCAAAGCCUCCGGCCUUCGCCAACCUCUUUCGUCCGCCUCCCACGCACGGUACUUCUUCGCACCCGGUUCUCUUUCCUUUUUUCCCCCGACCCUUGGAAUAUUCUUGGUCUGACCUUUAAUAGAUUAUAUUAGGGUCGGGAUCUCCUUCGACCAGCACCAGAAGAAAAAGAAGAAGAAGCAGCCGCCGGCGAAAGAGGAGGAGGAGGGAGGAGGAGGAGGCAGAGGGAGAGUCGCCGCAGCCGUCCCUCCAAUGACGGCCGUCACGAGGUGGGAGGGCGUCGACGAUAGGCUCGCCAAGAUGAUCACCGAGGCCAAUCUCGACCAGGCCCCCGAGCGCCGCAGGGUCCGGGAGGCCUUCAAGGACGUCCAGCUCGGCAUCGACCACUGCUUGUUCAAGGUAUCUUGUGUCUAUAUCUAUAUCUUUCUGUCUUGAAGCCAUGCUCCACUUCAUUCGUUUCGAUUCUUGUAGUCCUUAGUGUUCUUUUACUGGCACGGUAUGAUUGUGCAACAAUCUGAGGUAUGAUAUUGAUGUUCGAGUUUCUUUAGCCUUGGGAAAGAAUGGCGAGAGCUUGAAAUAAAGACGGAGUAUCAUGAAAGAUUAGUUGAUUGAGUAUCGACUUGUAGGGUGUGUCAGAUUUGCCUAUGGGUUACAAUAAAAAAAGAAAAGAAAAUGAUUUGCCUAUGGGAAUGCUUGGAAUUAGGGAUUUGAAGUGAAUGAUUCUUGUUAAACAAAUUUUGGAAAUCAACAGGAAGUAUGGAGUUUAUGUCUGCUUGGAGUGCUUCUACCUACUUUUGGGCAUCUUGUUCUUCCUACCAGUUGUCACCAAUGAAAAAAAGGUGUAGCGGCAUAUUGAACGGGUGGAAACCUGCUGGUUUUUUUAGUCUUUUUCAUAUGCAGUGGUGGAAACCUGCUGGUUUGUAUGGUCUUUUUCAUAUGUAAUGGUGGAACCCUGCUGGUUUGUGUGGUCUUUUUCAUAUGUAAUGGCGGAAAAAGAAUGGAAUAGCGCAAGUGGUGCUCUUUGUCGGUCAUUUGUGAGUUGGAGUUUGGCAUGGUUACCAUAAAACAUGCUGUCAUAUUCUUGUCCACAAUUUGGAUGUCUGGCAGCUAAAAAAUGCUAGAGUUAACUAUUUUUGUUAGUGGGUGCGAUUGAGAAAAGUGAGAGGAAUUGUUGUCCAUGGAUGUAUCUGCCAUUCAUAUAAUGCUGAGUAAAUUUUGAUUUCUAGUUUCCCUUCUUCUAAUAAAGUCAAUUCCAUCAUGAAGUUACCCACAAAAAAAAAAAAGAAAGCCAACUCCAUCAUGAGAUUAAUGGGAUUCAGGAAAAACAUGCUUGAACAUGUUACGAGAACCAAUACUUAAUUUUCUUAAAUAUAAGGUUAUCUGCAAACUGUCCAUCACCAAAUGCAGUGAGGUGGUACAAUUUCUAAACUAUAAAAGAAAUAAAUUUGAACUGAUGAGAAUGAAAACCAAUAUUGCAAUUUUGCAAGCAACAAAUUGGAUAUCAAAAGGUACUGGCUCCAAUUUGGAUGUUGGUGUGAAAGAUAGAAUUGUAGAUAUGAAAUAGUACAAGAUGAAUGGACAACUAUUAACAGAUUAGUGCUAAUAGUUUUUGAUGCUUAAGCAUUUGAGGUUUUAUUCUUUCAAUAAUAAAAAAAAAACUUAUGGAAAGAUUUUAUGCAUGAUAGACUUUCAAAUCCGGUAACUUCUGGGACUAGAGAUUAUCUUCUAAUCGGCUAAAGCAAUAUUAUAUUAUCAAAUUGGAAGUAAAAAAAAAAAGGGAAGAGAAGGGCAAAGAGAAGAUGAAUGUAUAUAUAGAGAGAAGCAGAAGAAAAAUGUUGAAAAGAAGAUAAGGAAAUGAGGAUUUGGUUGCAAUAGCAAAAAAUAAUUGUGGAUAUUGGUCCUCAUGAGGCCAUCAAACCUGAGUUUAAAAUAGCUAGGAUGUGGUAGUCCUGCUUGAAGAUGGUGGUUGUAGGAGUGGAAUAGGUGAAAUGCCUCUUACAAGAUAGCUGCCCUCUGUAUUGUACACAUGGUUUGCGUAUUGUCAAGUAUCAUCUGGUAUAGGAUGUACUGUAUCAUACCGGUCUUGUAUCGGUAUACUAUCUUAUACCAUACCGACGUUCGGUACGCUAUCUCAUAUUGUAUAGAACUGCAUACCAAUAAUAUAAUAUGAUGGUAUUGGUAUGAGGUCUGAUACUAAGAUGGCGAACCUUGACUAUAAGUGCACUUCUCCAAGAAGUCAUCCCAUUAUUGUAAACUCCUAGGUAAGGGCCAUGGCAUAUGCACCAUGGGGUAAAUUUCUUCCUUUCUUUGCAUAUCAUCCAGAAAAUGUAGCCCAAGGCAACAUUGCAUGACUUGAUGCAAGCAUUGGAGCUAUACAAGAUACUACUAAUCAAAUAACUAAUACACGUGUCUUCAAACUAAAAUAUUAAUUAGACAUAUCAAAUAAGUUAAAUUUCUCACUCCAAACCCAUCUUACUGAAUACAGUUGACACCAUUAUGGAGUUCAAUGUAAGCCUCCAAUGUUGAUAAAAUUUGGUUAGAGGUCUCCUUUUCCUUCUAAUUUAAAGCUCUGGCCUUUGAGCCUCAUCCUACUUGGUCAUAUUUCUUUCUGUGGUUUAGUAAUAAUCUUUAUUCUGUCCUUCGGUAAUUGUAUUAGCUAGUUCUCAUAAACAUUUCUUUAGUAAGGAGCAUUCAUCAUUUUAAGGGACUUAUUGUAUUUCUAUUUUCUUACUGUUUAUCCAUGAACGUUUAUGGGAAAAAUACUCAUAAAUUUUCCUUCGUUUGUAUAACAGGCACAGUAUAGUGGAGUGAUAAUGAAGGAGGUAAUAAUUUUUUACAUAUGUACAGUUUGUUCUUCAUGGCUUAAAUAAAUUAUAUAUGAUGGUAAACGGUCAUAGUUGAAUAAUGAAUAAGAGCCCUAAUCACAUGAUAGUGGCUUGAAAUUGGUAUUUGUCAUCAUGUUCCUUGUACCAAAUGGCAUUUUUGCUAUAUGUUCUUGCCUCAAAGUACUAUACUUAUUAAGUUAUUUAUAUAUAGUCAUACGAGGUGAAUUCUAGAGGUUUGGAAAUCUUCUCCAAAAGUUGGCUUCCAGAAGGGUCUAAGAUGAAGGCACUGAUUUGUUUCUGUCAUGGUUAUGGAGACACGUGCACAUUUUUCUUUGAAGGUAUGUGUUGUUCCCUUGCAGCUUAUAAUCCUGAACAUGCAUUAGUUCUUAUAGUAUCUUUGAUAGAUUGCAUUACUUAUAACUACAUAUAUCACAAACAUGUUUCUUAAAGGGAUUGCAAAAAAGUUAGCAACAUCUGGAUAUGGAGUUUUUGCAUUGGACUACCCUGGAUUUGGUCUUUCAGAAGGACUUCAUGGAUAUAUACCAAGUUUUGAUACCCUGGUCAAUGAUGUAGCUGAGCAUUUCUCUAAAAUCAAAGGUAUGAUAUUGCCUCCCGCCUCAUUAAGGAACUUCUUCUAACCAUUGAAUACAAAUCAUAUGACACACUCUUUUCUUGCCACUCGUCAACAUGUUGAUGCCCAUGUUGCCUUUUUAAAUUUUGAGCAUGCUGCAGCUUGGGCAAUUCUGGUCAGAUCCAUGGGAAACCUGAGGUUGUUCCAAACAAAUUUGCAACCUUAAAGUGAACAAAGCAGACUUCACUAUGACUCUAUACUAGAUUGAGCAUCCAAUUUGACUCCAAAAUUUUCAUUCCAAACAUGAAGAGUUGGGCUAAAUAGGGCAGGUUUUGGUUCUUGUCAGUUAAGGUUGCCUUAAUAGGACUUUGAUUGUUCAUGCACAAGAUAAUUUCGUCUUGGCUGAUAGUUUCAGGUUAGUUUUGUGUAGUUCCACGUCUGGUUGUGUUGAAUGCAGCCAGAACUGUAGCCAGGUUGAAUUAUUCUGUCCCAAACCUGACCCUAGUUUGGUACUUUGUUCUGACCUAACUUAAACUAUGGGUUACGUAGCCUUGAGUAUAGGUUCGUUAACCUACGUUUUUGCGCCUCUUUAUCAAAAAUUCAAGAUUAAGUUGUGAGAAAUGUUGUUAGUCUAAUUGUUGAAUUUUUAAAUGCAAACAUACUGUAAAAGAAAAAAAGAAUAAGAAAACAUGGCUUAUACCAUCGAACUGGAUUUGACCUAAUGCAUCCUAUUUCACCACGAGCCUUGCUAUUACCUAAUCCUCAAAACCGCAAACCUGUCUUGAAAAUGUUUUUUACUUCCUCCAUCUAAGUUUGCUUUCGUUCUUUGGGGUUUUUGAUAUCCAGGCAAGACAUGGUUGACACUUAAUUGAUAAGCGAUUGGCUGUCAAGAAGUCAGUUUCUCUUACAAAUUUGAACAGAUAUUUUUAAUAAGGGAAUAAGGGGAUUUAAUUUCAGCAUUCACUGGUCAGGGAUUUGCAGAGGAUUGGAAAAAUUUAAAUAAUUCUAAGUUCGACUCUUUUAUGUUUUCUCAUUAAAGGAGAAAUAAAUGGCAAGUUGCAUCCAGUAAAAGGUUUUUAGGAACUAGGUUUUAGGUAAAUAAGGUCUAUGCGAGUUAUCAGGUUGAGAAUAGGAUGUAGACACAUUAUAUUUACAUUGUAAAAAGAUUCUGAUAAACUAAUUAGAUCCAAAGUUUGCUGUCUCGGUAUUGGACUUGUAGUCAUGUACCAGUACCAUUGUAUUGCGGUGUUGGUAUGUGUUUCAGUACGGUACGAGAUGGCAUAUUAAGUGUCAAUAUAGUACGAUACAUUGUACCGGUGGGAGACACCGUAUCGGUACAAGACUGGUAUGAUAUGAGGUGUACCCUGCUAUUCGGCCUGGUACAUCAUUCCAUUAUCAGAUCUAUUAUGUACAGAAAUAAGGAAAGAAAAAGUAGGUAGAAAUAGAUUGAUAGAUUGAGAGAUGUGAGAAGGAGGACAUCUGAAUCGAGGAAUCAAGAGAAGGAAAGGAGUAUAUGUCUAUGUAUGGGGAUGGCUUUUUAGUUCCUAGGUAACAACUAUCUUUGUUGUUCCCUGUGCAUAAUGACAGAUUUUACCUUUUUAUCUUCACACACUUUUGGUCUUGCACAAAAGGCUUCUCUCAUGAUUGUCAUUAAAUUUCUCAUGAGAUUUUAGCUCAAACUACUGAAAAACGACUACUGGUUCAAGCGAGAGACUACCUUUUUCCCACCUUUCUCAAACCUACUAUUACAUCCAUUUCCUGAACAUCAGCCAUCACCACGUCUUUGUCCUCUAUCGUUCAUCUGGCCCACAGACCACUCCCCAGUUCCCCAUUUCUCUCUUGUUGCUUUUCUCACAGCCUCUCUAUUCUUUUCUUCUAUGGCCACCCACUUGUGCUGUCUCCACCCUCUGUGGCCACCUACCACAAGCCAUGAUAUGUGCCCUUUCUCUGCCUAUUAGCAUCACCUAUGGCCCCCCUCUAGAAUUGCUCACAAUUUGCUCUCAUCUCUCAUCACUUUCACCAUUGCUCCAAAGUCUGAACUGUCACCUUCAGACUGAUUCCACCAUCACCUACAAUAUUAUCUACAUCCCAUACUUUCCUUCACUCAUUGAAAAACAAAGGAUGAUCUAGACAUUUUGCAACACCCCACAUAUUCUUCCUGCCUCCCCUUCCUUCCACCACUCAUGCAUAUAAAUCUCUCCCAGUUCCAAUCAACUAAUAUCUUGUCAAAAUUUCUUGUGAUGUCCAUGUGUUCGUUCUAAUCAGUUGGGAUAAUGACUAGGCACUUGGUGCUAGAAUGGUAGACAAGACUCUUAGGUUGCGUUUGGUAGCUGACAAUCUAUACAGAUUAUUGGCAAUUUAAAGAGACCCCACCAGAUUACCACGUUUGGUAUGUUUUUUGGAUUGGUAAUCCAGAUUACCUCUUCUGAGAUAAUCUGGAUUACCAAAGGGAGGGGUGGCUAUCCAGAUUAUCACUACUUUGGUAAUCUUGCAAUAAAAUUUCUGGAUGAAAUUGCCCUCCUCCCCUCCCCCUUUCUUCGUGUGGUGCCACCCGUCGCUCGCUCAUGCCUCCUCUCCCCCCCUCCCUGCCCAAUGCCACCCGUCGCUCGUCUGUGCCUCCGACGGCCCUGCCGUCUUUUAUGCUGCCAUCAUGGCCCUUGCCAUCAUCCUCCCCGCCGCCACCAUCCAUCCCACAGUCUUCUUCCUCACGAUGGGCAGCGAAAAGAGGGAGGCCAAAAUUGGUGCCCUCCUUUACAAAAUUCGACCGGCGACGGUCGGAAACUAGCCGCCGACGGUUGCCAUCGCCAUCGUCUUCUUAACAGCAGCUGCCAGCAAUCAAGGAAAAAUCACCGGUCUAUUAAGAUCCGGCGGUCUCAAGGGGAUGACCGCCCGUGGAAAAAGGAGACAGCCAUCCGAUCAUCUCUUUCCUCACCUUCGUCGCCUUCUUCCCCUGACAUGGCCUCCAGUUGGGUGGGUGAGGGCGGCGACGCAGAUGGGUGAGGGCAGCGAUGGAGGUGGCCGUAGGGUGCGCGGGGUGUGGGUUCGCCAGGAGGCCAGGGGGCGGUGCGGGAGGGUGGGAGGAGGCACGGACGGUCGGGGGGCGGUGCCGGAGGUGCAACGGUCGGGGGGUGAUGCCGUACGGCUGAGGGUUAGGGGUGGAGGGGGGAGGGGUGUGGCGUGUGGGGGAAGGAAAAGGAAGAAAAAAUAAAAAUAAUAAAAUAAUAAUAAUAAGUAUUAAAAAAUAAUGAAAAAAUUAAAUAAUUUGAUUAUUUAAUUAAAAAUAAUUUUUUUCAUAUAAUAAUUUUUAUCAUUAGAAAAAUUAAAUAAAUAUUUUAAAAUGCUAAACUAAUAAUAAGGAUAUUUUGAAAAUUUGAUGUUACAUUACCAGUAAUCUGAUUGUCAUACCAAAUAGGUCAAUUAAGAUUUUCAGUAAUUUUACUGCAACAUUAUGUGCAUGUACCAAACACGAUAAUCAACGUUACUGGCAAUCUAUCCGGAUUGCAGAUAAUCCAGAUUACCACUACCUGACAAUACACCAAAUGCAACCUUAUAGUCAUGGAAUAUUGAACUCAAGAAUUUUCUCUUGUGACCUAUCCCAUGCAUCAAAGAAACCAAAUUUUUAGUGAUUUGCUCAUUAUAUGUGCCAUCUAAAUUUUAUUUGCUAAUAGUGAAAAUGUUUAAUGUAACCAAAUGUCCAGGAUAGCUAUCCUAAGCUUCAAAGGUACUAGAGCAAUAAUGAGUAUCCCUGAAUUACUGCAGAUGCAAUUAUUGUGCUAUUGGUGUUGAUGUAAAAAUUAAGUGGUAUCUAAGACAAAGAACAUGUAUAUCAGCUCCAUGUUUAGUAUCAUGGAAGAGCAACAUACACUAGAAUAGAAAUGUUUUCUUUUAGUAGUGAUGACUAGAAAUAUCCAAGAACCAAUGAUCUUUUCAAGGAAUAAUGACAUAAAGUAAGCCCACUUUUGAAUGAUGCACAGGUUGUUGGUUCAAGGAUAUAGGAAGUAAAGAUGAUCAUAGAAUGUAAACCUUAUGAUAGAGAUAGGACUUUGCCCUUUGAUCAGAAACUAAGAGGCCUAUUUUUUUUUAAAGAUUUUUAAGACCUUGAGAGAUCCAAUUAAUAAUGUACUUUUUUGAAGGACUGGCGAGAAAUUGAGAGUUUGUAGUUUUACUGUCACUUAUAUGUGGAAUGUGUUUCUUAGCUGGUUCUUUUGUUGCUCAAAGGCAACUAAGUCGAACAAGCAUCAAAGUGUUUACGCAACUAUUGUAGUGGAUUUUUUUCCAUCCAAAGAAAAGACCCUCCUAUAGUGGCUUUUGACAUUUGCUAUAUAUGAAGAGUUAUGCAUCUUCCUCAGAAAACAAAAGCACAAAGGGAAGGGGGGGAGAGAGAGAGAGAACUAGUGAAAUUUGUAAUUAUAUAUGUGGAAGCGUGUCAUCCCCAUGGAUUAGAGAAAACUCCUUUCAUUUCAUAGUAUUCCUUCGUAUCAUUGAUUCAUACAAAAUUUAUGCUUGACAGAAAAGAUUUCAUGGAAAAGCCAGCAAAAAAUGAAUGAUUUUGGGUUGAAGUAUGCAAGGUCACUAUAAACAUCUAGCAUAGACACUUAUAUGGGUUAUCAAAGAUUCUGUGAGCAAGAGAGAAAUUGACACUAGAGAACAGAAAUCAAAGGAAUUGAAGUGCAGUUUAUCCAAAAGCUCAAUUGGAAUGAAGGGGCCAAUAGACUAUGCAAGUUGGGUACGAGGAGGGUGGUUUGGUGGGAUAUGGUGGAGUAACUGGCAGCAAAUACUCACAGGAAUAAGGAGAUAAAAGGGUAAUGAUGUGGUGUUUGGAAGUGGGUGGAAGGGGCCAGUAGUGGUGGGUGUCGGGAGGCAGAAUAAAGGACAGAAAAGAGGAAGAUGAAACUUGUCACAUAUUUCAAGCUUCAGGACAUAUGCCUUCAAAAUCUCAUGAGAUACUUUUUUCUAAUGCAAUAUAGUUGCUCCAAAUUACCAAAAGUGCCCAUUGAUAUCUAGGACAGCUAACUUUAUAAGGGCAUGAUCUGUCCUUUUAAACAGAGGACAUCUUGCUUCAUUGUUCCCUAGGAACAGUAAAGCUGUGCCAUACACACAGGCACACAGAUAAGAACCUUCCUUACUCAUUAUUCAGUCUGCUUUAUUUUUUAGAACCUACAAGAAAAGAAAAGGAGGGAAACAAAAUGAAAAUUUAACUAUUUUGAAGAAAGCAUUGUAUUCCUAUUGAUGGAGGAUAGCAUAGGCCCGACCUUUUUUAAACUUGUGUCAAAUACCUAGUAGAGUUCUUAAGCAAUAAAUAUGAAUCACCACAACAUACUGUCAAUAUUAAUGAUUCUUUGCUGAUUUGAGAACCUCUUGAGUGAUAUAUUGGAAUUAUAGGAAUUAUAAUCCUCAUCAUAAUCAUCUAGCCUUUUCCCAACUCUUUGGGAUCAGCUUAAUGGAUUCUUAUUUGCCAAGUAUUCCUAUCUAGGGCCACCUUUGAUGUUAUUCAAAGUUUCUCCAUAUCCUUCCUCCCAACCUACAUCUGUGUUAAUUUAAGUCUUCCUUUUCUUCUUAUAAUCUUUGAUACAAGCUCAAGUAACUCUCCUUACAUGAGCCUACUCAGAUCUUUGCUGUACAUAUCCAUACCAUUGAAGAUCUGAAAGGAUCCUCAUGAGUCAUACAUUAGAAAGAAUAAAAAAGGCAAAGGAUGCCAUGCACAUUUCUGAUUGCUGUUUAUUAUCAAAAUUUUAGAACAAGAAAGUGUGUGGGGAUUAUAUUUGAGGAUUUGGCUAAAUGCAUCUUAGAUGAUAGAGAUUAGUAGUUAAGUUUACAACAUGAAUUGGCUAGCUUUCUAGUUUUAGGGCUGGCUCGUGCUGGUGGUUUUGUUUGAUGGCUGGUUGAAAAGGAGAUAGAAGUCAGGGCUUUGAAUUUGAUUUUAGGACUGCUUUUUGGUCUAUGGUUGCAAAAAUAAGAAAAGGCACUGAGAAAUAGAGGGUACCAAUUGAAGAGAAUAGACAGAUAGAGAGGGGUAUCUUGACUUGCUUCCACAAGCUCUCAGACCAUGAUCAUUUCUCCAAACCAAGGCAAGGGAGAUGGCGCAGAGGGAGGAUGGAAUUGUGUAAUAGAGAUAGGAUGUCUAGGGUUUGUGAAAAUUCAGUAGGGUUUUGGAUUUAGUUGAGAUGAUAAUAAUGUGUAGGCAUUAUAUGUUUUACAUUAAUAAAUAUAUCAAAAUAAUGAUACCAAAUAAUAUAUAGCUUCAGGUAAGCUAGGUUGAUAUACUUUCUAGCUAGUUUGAGCUUAGCCUAAUGUAAUCCAGCCACAUUUUCAAGCAUUGGCUUGUUGAUCCGAUGGGGCAUAUUCCUUUUGUCCAUGCCUGCCCAGCAAGGCAGGCAAGGCACGUAGGCUAUGGGGCCUAAUUUUCUUAGUUGAAUCCAGGAUACUUUCAGAUACCUUUUUCUUUUCCCUUUCUUUGGUGGAUGUAGAUACAAUGACAAUGAACAGUUAAUUUUAAGGUCUUGUUUGGAUGCUUCCACAAGGCAUCCACCGAAUAUACUAUAUAUGGUGGUGGCUGGGAAGAGUUUAGUUGGGGAGAGUGCAUAAGAAAAAGAGUAUUUACAUCUGAGGGAAGUUUUGAUCUGUCGAGUCCCAAAAAAUGGGGGUACCGGAAAUCAGUAGCCAUAAAUUUCGGGAUUUGUUGGUUUGCAUGAUCUUCCAACUUGAUCAAGUUUUCCCCCAGUGGCAGCCUUUCUCCAUGACAAAUUCGGUUUUGUGAAGACAUUGCCAGGUAGAUGGUCCGGACAUCCAAAUAGGGCCUAAAUAUUUUGAUGUUCAUGUUAUUUAGUGGAGUGUGAAUAUGGAUUUAAAUGAUUACUAGAAGAUUGAGUUUGUGGACAUUGAUGUAAUUGUAUAGAGUACGAAUUAUGUUACUGCGAUAGUGCAUUAUGCUUUGUUGAUGCAUCUCAACAUGUGAAUAUGUAUAUCACUAUAGCGUCAUCAUAUCCUAUCCUAAUUUGUUCCAAUUUUUGUUCUAUAGACAUAUCUGUUUUUUGAUGUAUCCAUAUCCUGUAUCCAUGUCCAUGCUUCAUAAUUUAUAAGCUAGGGUUCUCUUGCUAAAUCGAGAGACAACACCCAAAAAACUA